UUAAUGACAAAGCUCGUGGCCACAUAUUAUUAAAAGUUUUUCUAAACCAAUACAACCAUUCAAUUGAAGCGAAGCAUCCAAUCCUAGUAGACCAAAUGAAACGAAAUGAUUAUAAGAAAUCAAACCCCAGUUGACCCAGUGUAUUAAUUCAAAUGAUUAUCAUCCAAGCAAAUGUAUGGUUUCUGGAAAUUUCAAUAUAGAGAUAGGAACAAAACUUAUUAAAAUUCAAUCCACUUUAAUCAUAGAAAUCCGCAUCGUCAUAAUCAAACCAACAAGGGAAAGCUAACUACUGCAGAUUAAUAAACAUAAUGAUGAAGUAUGCAAUGAUUUCACAUUCUAACUUGAAUAAAGACGAGCAACAAAUCACCGUACUUAAGGUUUUCACAUAUCCUUUUCAUACUAAAGUCAUAUCAAUAAUAGAAUAAUAGGGAAAUCGAUAAUGAACCUGGACUGAAAUUCUUCUUAGUAACAGUAGAGGAAUGAGCAUAUACAAUGUUUUGCUCCCAAAUUUAAACUGAGAACAAAGCAAUUGAGCAAAAACGCGAGCCAAACCACGAACCUCAGACGAAAACUCCAAUCGGCAUCAGAAUGAACUCAAUUAAACCCCGUCGAUCCCAUGGAAAAAAAGGGAGUGGCGAUGAGAGGGGACCAUUAUGGUGGUGGAAGAGCUCGACGAUAGUGAGGCGCGGCUGGGUUCUCUGAGGGGGUUGGUUUCCGGCGAAGCAACGGUUGCUGGUGUGGGCUCCGCUGGAGAUGAGGAAAGGGGGGUCGUUUGGAGAAGACGAAGUCAGGGGGUGGGGUCAUUUAUGGUUGCGGCGAAUCUGUUUUGUCUCUUAGGUCUUGGUGUAUUUUUUUUUUUGCUAUUUCAGCUUCUUCUUCUUCUUCUUUUUUCAGGCGUUAGGUGUUAGCCUAUAUAUGUAGGUCCUAGAGUCUAGGUUUAUAUUUUGUGUAUUUGCUCUUAGGUCUUUAGGGUCUUUUUAUUUAUUUAUUUAUUCCAAAGAAGAGUCUAGAAGGGUCCCUAGGAUUAGCUUAAUGGGUAUUGGGCUUAAGGAAUAGGCUAGACACUUGGGCCUUUAUGACUAGCUAUGCUUAGAAUUAGCUUAAUUAACUAAAAAUCUAUCCAUAUAGAAAUUUUAUCAAAAAUAUUAAUUAGCCCUACUUAAGUAAAAAUAAUUAUUAAAAUAAGACUGACUGUUAAAACAAAAUUAUUUAUUGGUAUUUUUCAAGAUUAAAAAUGACUAUAAAACAUUAAUGAACCUAUUUUUGUAAUUUUCGUUUUCUUGUAAUAAAAUAAAAGUAAAAGAGUAAAAUGAGUUGAAAUAACUAUAUUAGGCCUAAAUUAAAUAUUUACAUGCUAAAAUAUUUAAAAUCUUGAGGAGGGUCAAAAAUCACAUGUCUACAGCUGCCCCUCUUUGACUGGAAACACGAAGUAUUUUCAGACAAAGAACGACCAGACAGGUUUUUGGACCCGACCCUUAUUUGGAGAGACUAAAACUAAGAGAAAGGGGAAUUUGACCGAGCCCUUGUAUCUAAGCUGCCUACAUAUCCUUGGCUAUAAAAGAAUCAGGCCACAUGUAGUUCAGAAGUGAGUGAGAUGAUGGAGUAUGCCGAGGUGGAGAGCCAGUCGAGGUGCCGUUCCGCCGAGGUUCCGGUCCGCGGUCCUGAUGNNNNNNNNNNNNNNNNNNNNNNNNNNNNNNNNNNNNNNNNNNNNNNNNNNNNNNNNNNNNNNNNNNNNNNNNNNNNNNNNNNNNNNNNNNNNNNNNNNNNNNNNNNNNNNNNNNNNNNNNNNNNNNNNNNNNNNNNNNNNNNNNNNNNNNNNNNNNNNNNNNNNNNNNNNNNNNNNNNNNNNNNNNNNNNNNNNNNNNNNNNNNNNNNNNNNNNNNNNNNNNNNNNNNNNNNNNNNNNNNNNNNNNNNNNNNNNNNNNNNNNNNNNNNNNNNNNNNNNNNNNNNNNNNNNNNNNNNNNNNNNNNNNNNNNNNNNNNNNNNNNNNNNNNNNNNNNNNNNNNNNNNNNNNNNNNNNNNNNNNNNNNNNNNNNNNNNNNNNNNNNNNNNNNNNNNNNNNNNNNNNNNNNNNNNNNNNNNNNNNNNNNNNNNNNNNNNNNNNNNNNNNNNNNNNNNNNNNNNNNNNNNNNNNNNNNNNNNNNNNNNNNNNNNNNNNNNNNNNNNNNNNNNNNNNNNNNNNNNNNNNNNNNNNNNAGGGGGCUCCUGAUUGCCGAACUCCUUUGAACCUUGCUGCUUCCCUUCGUUCUCCAGGUGGGCUCCUGGUUGCUGUCUUCCUUUGAACAUUGUUGCUUCCCUUCGUUCUUCAGGUGGGCUCCUGAUUACCAACACUUGCGCUGUUUUUCCUUGAAACUUGAAUUGCCUCCCUUGAAACUUGAACUGCUUCUCUUUGUUCUCUAGGUAGGCUCCUGAUUUCCAACACUUGAACUGACCCCUCUGAAACUGCUACUUGUGAACCUGAUUACAAUAAAACAAACAAACAAAAGAAAUUUUUCUGCCCCAGUUUGAUAUCGGGAACAUCUGUGAGUGUUAAUCUAAUCAUAAUACCCAAAAGCUCUAAGAAUUUAAAAGCUAAAUCCCAUUAUCCAGGAGGGUCCUGAAAAUUAAAAAUUAAAUCUCAUCUCAAGAGUGACAACUUCAAAGCUAAAUUCUAUUUCCUAAAGGUAAAAUUUACGCUAAAUCUUAUUGUCUAUGAAGGUCUUAAAAACUUAAAACUAAAUCCCAUUAUCCGGGUCCUGAGAACUUUAAAUUAAAUCAUAUUAUCCAUGAGGGUCCUGAAAAUUUUAAAUUAAGUCCCAUUAUCCAGGAGGGUCCUGAAAAGCUGAGAAUGAACUUACCUAAGCCGCGCUCUUUUCCUGGAGGAUCUAUGUAGACCGAACAAAAUUCCUUUCCCCUAAACCACUCUUUUCCUCAUGGAGGGUUCAUGUAGAUCGAAUAAAUUUUUCUUUCCCCUUCUCAAACCGCCUUUGUGCUGACAAACUUUGGGCACGACACUUGAAAAAGUUCAAACUUCCAAGCUUUGAUUUGGACACAAUUUUCGUCCCUGUUUCAAACAAAGAGAACUUAUGAGUUUAUAAAUAUGGUGGUUGGUUUGUGGCCUUGAAUUUGAGGGUGAUUUCUCCUUCACUUCCCAUGAUAACUUUGAUUUCCACUCGAAAGAUCUUGCUUUUUUAUUGACUUACUACUUUCUCUGUCACCCUUAUCACGGAAAAUACCUCUAAUCUGUUCAAACCCAAUACCAUUCAUCUGUUGCAUUGUGCUCUUGCAUUGACAUGUACUGAACCUUUGUGUUUCACAUGAAUCCCAAAGCACAUCAAUUGCCAUCCACUCAGUGCACAUGUUGUUCUUUCCUGACUUAAAACACUGGCCUUGGCCUUGAGGUCUAUUGCUCCUUCAUUUGCCAUGAUAACUGAUUUCCGCUUGGAAGACCUUCCUUGUCCCUGGUUAACCACUUCUUUUGUCAAUCUUAUCAUAGAAAAUACCUUUUAUCCGUUCACCCUUCAUCCUCGAUCUAUUGCACUGAUCAUGAAUUGACAUAUACCAAACCUUUGUAUUUCACAUGAAUCCCAAAGCACAUUGAUUGUUGCCAACUCAAUGCGCAUGUUGUUCUUUCCUGACUUAUGCCACUUUGAUGUGUUAGCCAGAUCCUAUUUUGUGCAAUUGGAAAGCGGGUGGCAAAUUGUGAAGUCAUUUCUCACUUGUUCUGACCAAACAAACUUAGGAAGAGGAAGUAAACAAAACAAAAGGAACAGAGUAAAGGACAAUGGAAAGAGAUGAUUCCUAACAAACAAAACUACAAAGCAAAAACUUAUCAGAUGUGGACACCAACUCUAAUAACCAUGACAUGCACAUGUGGCCUAAUCUGUCAAGCAAGUCUGAUGUUCAACACUUGUUAUACCCCUAAACCGUGAAACUGGGCUUCAAUGCUCCGAUUAUCCAAUCUGAUUCACAAUCCUUAUUCGACUUGUAGUGCCCGAAGGGUUUUCACUAUCAAGCCUCUCUCAUUUUGUUCUUUUUCUCAACUCAUCAUCGCCUUAUAGUGCCUGGGAAGGUUUUCACCGAUAAGACUCUCAUUUUUUUUCUUCUUUCUUCUGAUUUUGUUGAUGACAAGGCGUUGACCAUAGUAAAAACAUCAUGUGCUCCUGGCAUGUCUAAACUCAGCACUCUCAAAGAUUAUUUGGGAGGUCUUUUUUGGACUAUGAUGUGGCUUUUGGAUAGGGUUAGAAAGAAAGGAUAUCAUAAAGGCUCAAAAUUACUAAAACAACAGGGUUAAUUUAUUUACAACUUUUGGAAUCCAUUCUAAAAACUUUGCCCAAUUUCUAAAACAAUGGAAUUUGAUUCUUUUUUAUUUUGUUUUUCUUUUUUGAUGGAGUUAUUAAUAAAGACCGCCCCACAUUCGACUUCGUCGGAUUAUGAAAUAUUUUAUUUGGUAUGACCGAACCGUUAGGCUGCCUACGUAUCUUGUGGUGACAAGAAUCAGGUCAAACGUAAUUCACAAAACUACUUUUUGUAACUAUUUGCCUUUCUUUUUUCUUUCUCUCUUUUUUUUUCUUUCUUUCUCUUUUUUUCUUUUUCCUUUUUUCUCCUUUAUCUCUAUUUUUCCCUUCUUUUUUGAAUUUUCCUUUCGGAAUGAACUUUCUAAAAUAAACCUAUGGGGACAUGAACUCUUUUUUUUCGUAUGACUCUAACUUGAUUCCAAAAGAGGGGAGGUCAAAGAAAUCAGUACAGGCUCAAAAGAGUAUCGAAUGGUAUAAGUGUUUGGGUAGCUGAAAGAGGGCCUCCUAAUCGCUGAAAAUGCCAAGUACAACACAUGCAACUUGAAACGGAAAUUGAAAAUCAUGCACAAUAUUUCUUUUGCAGCUUCGACAUUGAUAUCACUGAUAUUCCUUCGACUUUUAGUUAGCGCCUUUUCAAGUACAGAAUCCUCGUUGGGUGAUUCCCUCUUCACAAUGGAUAUCUUCCAUCAAUUUGGAGAGAAAUUCCUUGACUUUAUCUUGUAACUUGAGAUGCACUUGAACUCAAAGUUGCUUGCUUCAAAUCGUCCGGUAUGCACUCUCCCUUAACGAAUUCUUGUUACCCUAUUAACUUUCCAAAUUAACUGCCCCAGUUUCACACAGUUCGGGCUUCAAAUGAACUCAAAAUAUCCAAAUCUGUACUUAUUUCCCUCAAGUGUUCCCAUCAUCUUCAAAAUUAUUUUAUUGCUUCAUGAUUAAACUAACUUUUAAGACCAGGCCUAGAAUUAUGCGUGCAUGUCAUGUCACUAGAGCCAGCAUGAAAAGAACUAUAAAAGGAAAAAAACUAAACAAAAAUGAUUAACAUAAAACAGAAAAUUGCAUUAGAUAGACGGUGAAAGGGUUUGAACAACAAGAUAAGUAAAAUAAACUGGGGUACGACCCUGGAACAAACCUAGAUAACACGAAAUGAGUUACUACGACUAAAUGAACUCGGCAAAAUAAAAGGAUAGAAGGGUUUGAUAGUCACAAGACAAUAUCCGAAUUACAACCCUGAAAUAAACCGGACAACAGAAAUGACAAUAAAAUAAACCACCAAUACUCCUCCCUGGCUAACCAAGAAAGGAGCAUCUUUUCAAUCACCAAGCUCAACAUCUUAGCCAUUGAAUUUUGCAUCAACAAUACUAGGACCUUCACAAGUCUUCAUCACAUUGUUCUUAACAAAUUGCUUUUGGGUUCCCUUUUGCCGGCUCGUUGUUAAGAUCAACCUCUGAUAGCGCUGAAAGCUUUGCAGCGCAUGGACCUCCGAGGAUCUCAGAAGAAUUCUCAUAUUCCUUUUCAAAACAAACCAUACUCACCAUAUGCGUCUCAUUACGAACAGGCGAUGGACUUUGGCUAGUGUCUGUUGCAUCUGGAUUUUGCACGACAAUGUCACCUGCAUUAAUAAGCUUAUAAAUUGCAUUUUUUAGGUGCCAACACUUUUCUGUACUAUGACCCGGGGCAUCGGAGCAAUAUGCGCACCUUUGAGAAAAAUCAAACUUCUUUGGCAGAGGGUUUGGCAUUUUUAUCUGAAUCGGCUUCAACAUAUCCAAUUGCCUCAACCUUUGGAACAAACUGGCAUAUGAUUCUCUAAUAGGGGUGAAAGCCUUUUCUUUUUUCAACAGUCUUUUCAGUUUGUAUUCUGGCCUCGGUUGGAAACUUUUGCGGGUAGGUGGCUGAUAUGCUUGAGGAGGCGGGUAAGACAUUUGUGGAAGUGGUGCAGGCCAUCGCGGGCCUCAUGGGUGUGGAGCAUAUGGUGGUGCAUUGUGGAUAGGGUACUAGGAAAGUGAUGUACGACUUUGGGGGUUACGUGGAGAGAAGUAGCAUUGGGGAGGAUCAUCUGGUGCACAAGGAGAUCCAUGGGGUCGAUGUCGAGGCUGAACGCGUUGAGUAGGAAUGCCCAGUGGAUCAUCUUUUCUAUUUCUCUUUAUUCCACCCAAACUUACUGGGAUGUUCUGAAUGUCUUCCGUAGUAUCUUUCAAUGCCGAAUAACUCAUGAUUUUGCCUGACUUGAUUCCCUUUUCUACCAUAUUCCCCGUUUUUACCACAUCAUUGAAAGGUUUACCCAAGGUCGGAAUCAAAUGACUGAAGUAGGUGGGCCCCUAAGCUUGUAGGAAAAGCUCAACCAUUUCUUCUUCACCAAUCGAGAGACUGACUCGAGAAGAUUUCUCCUUCCAUCUGAGCCCAAACUCCCUAAAGCUUUUCUCCAGUUUCUUUUCCAUCUUAGAUAGGGAGGAGCGGUCUGGGGUAAUGUCUAAUUUGUAUUGAAACUGUCGAACAAAAUCUUGAGCCAUGUUGCCCAAUGUAUGCCACUUACCGACAUAUUGACGAUUAUGCCAUUCCAAAGCUGCCCCAGUCAAGCUCUCACUGAAAUACGCAAUCAACAAAUCAUCUUUCUCGUCAGCACUACUCAUUUCCCUGCAAUAAACCCUCAGAUGGGCUACCGGAUCUCCACGGCCCUCAUACAAAUUGAACUUUGGCACUUUAAACCCCGCAGGCAGAUGAACAUCAGGGAACAUAUAAAUCUGAUUUCUCAUCCCUUGCAUGCUCCUUAAGGACUAUUCCAUACCUUUCAGCUUCCUGGAUAUCUCAUCUCGCCCUUCUUUUCCUGUGACCUUUUCAUUUUCAGCAUGAGGCUCAUUCCGAGUGCUCUCCUUGUAUGAGCUAAGAACCUUGUGGGCAACCUCUGAGAGGUAAUAUUGGGCAUCAUGAGCUCUGAGUGGGUAUUCAUUGUUGGAUAUAGUGGAUAUGACAGGAGGGCAAUUUUGGGGAAAGGUAAUUGGAGGACGAGUGAUGGAGCUACUAGGGUGGUUGGGAAAGCUGUGAUAAGCAGAACAAUCUGGAGAGUAUGGGGAAUCAUCUGGCACUAUGACCAGAGUUUGGGUAAGGGUAGCAUCUAGGAAGGUAAGUGGUGGAGGGGGUGGUGCCUUCCUAGUCAUCCAAGCCUGAUACAUGUCCGCCAUGUGUUGUCUUAACAUCCUCACCUUUUCAACUAACCCAUUGUCCUAUUCAACCAAUUGCUUUUGGGCACCCGUAUCAACCAACUCAGUUCUGUUGUCAUCUGCCAUUGCCUUUCAACUUUAUGUUGUAGAGAAGAGUUACCACUUUAAGAACCACAAACCAACCACCUUUCUGCUAUAAUGAAGAUAACAAAAGGAACAAAAUGAAGUCAUCACGUUAGCGUUAGGGCAUUUAACAUAAGAUAAUCUCAUUUUAUGUGCAAUGCACCUAGCCACAGUUACCGGUUCUAAAAUGACUUCGAGGGUACGAAGGUCAGUUGGCAUCAUCCCAAUUUGUUCAUCUCAAUCCUCUCUUUUCUUUGCUUUUCUAGCACUUGCUUGCUCAUUUUCCUUCCUUUUUUUGCUAAUUAUCACUCUCUUCUUCCUCUCAUUUUUCACAUCCCAUCAUUUCACCCCUUUUUUUCUUUUUUUUCUCUUUUUUUUUCCUUUUGUUUUUUUUUUCGUAAAAAUAAAACAUUUUGAUCGAACCCUAUAUAGGUUGCCUACUAUCAUGACGCCGCAUGAAUCAGAUCUUUGCGUACUUUGAGAAGAUCGCGAAUAGACUAAAUAAACUAACAUUCUCUUUUUUCUUUCUUUCUCUUUUUUCUACCUUAAUGACCAAUCCGAAGAGAAAGAAAAAUAAAGGAAGAAAAACUUUUUUUUUCUAGACUUAAUCUUCUAUAACCUAUUCUAAACUCAAGAUUAACGGAUUUUUUUUUCUUUUGAAACAAAUACUCUAUUAAGGAAAAAUCCUAGAAGAGAAAAAUAUUUUUUGACUUUUUUUUGUGAAGGAAAUCUAAAAAAUAAGCCAAAGAAAAACUAUUUUUAAUUUUAGUUUGAUAUCUUGAAAGAAAGAUUUCGAACCAAGAAAUAAAAAAGAUGAAAAUGUUUUUGGAUUUCAGUUUGACUACAUAUGGGAGAAACUCUGAAAAUAAACUCAGGAUAAAGUAUGUUAUUUUUUUUCUUCUAUGUACAAUGUCCUAAAGUUCUAGUAAAAUUAAAAAAGAAUUAUUUUUCAUUUUUCGUGAAUUUCUCAAAGAAGAACAUCAAAAGAAAAUAUAUUUUUUUUUGGAUUUUUGGAAUUAAUAUCUUAAAGAAAACUUUUAAAGAGGUACUAAAACUUUUUUUUUUUUUGAAUUUUUAGUCUUAAUAUACGAAAGGAAAUAUAAAAGCAAUUUAUUUUGAGUUCUAGAAAUUAAUUCAAUAAAGGAAAACCACCUCAAAUGAUUUUUAUUAUUCCUAGAAUUAGUAUUAUAAAAAAAACUUCUACCAGAAAUAUAAAAAUGUAACUUUUUUUUUUGGAUUUUUGAUUUAUAACACAUUUUCCAAAUACAAAGUAGAAAGUACAAUAACAAAAGACUCGACAUUACUGUACAAAACUAGAAAGUAAAAGAUGAUAUAAAAUGAAGAACAUACUCAAUAACACUAUGUGAGACAAUAACACUUCCUGUUAGACACAUGCAAGACAUGAUUGUGGCUGUUUUUCUAAAAUUAAUCAGUGUGGCUAAAGUGGCUAAAAAUGCAAGAUUUGGCUAAGACCCCGCAAAGCGAAGAACCUAAGAUUCACUAGGAAGACCGGACACUAUGUGGAUUGCCUAAGAAUUAGGUAUGCGUAGUUCGGGCAAAUUAGAUACGGGCAAGAAUUAAAAAACUAACUAAUUUAGAGAAAACAUAUUUUGCUUUGAAAAAUGAUGAAACAUAUAAACUCUUUUUGGAUUUUCUUUUCCUCUUUUUUUUGAUUUUUUGAUUUUCGAAAAAUGAUGAAAAAGUGCAAAAUCUUUUUGAAUUUUUCAUGUUUUUUUUUCCUUUUCUUUUAAAAAAUGUGAAAGAGAACAUAACUGGGCCCUACUUGCCUUAUUUUCAAACUUCACCCUCUCUUUUUUUUUCAUCUGCCCUCAACUAUCAUUGGUCCGCCAAAUGACCCUUUUACCCUUGAAGAAAUGCAACAUGUAGCACAUAUGAUGCAUCAGGAUGGUCUUUUAUUUUGGGGUACACUUGUCCUAGACGGACCCAACCUCUGUGUUGAGUCCCCAAAGUCAAAUGCAUAUGAUACAAACAAUAGUUCCUACUAGGGAUCUGGCAUGAGGCUGAGUUAUUCUGAGUUCAAAACCUGGGUAUGUUGUUCUAGAUUUGUGUACCCGAGCGGCCACAUCGAGCCGGGGGGGCUACGUACCGGGAACCAAAAUGCCAUCUGGCUUUGUAACUUGUCCGAGCCUCUUCCUAAUUUAAGGUAUGACACUAACAUAAGAGGAGUCACGCCAGUGUGCACAUCCCCGAAGAUGAGAAGAGAAGGGUUUCGUAGCAGUUUAUAUACAGUUCAGAUAAUAUAAAAGCGGUAAAAGCAACAUUUAGCACAUUAGGCCCAAACAUGUAAUUAAAACCAGAUAAUAAAUAAAAGCCAAAUAUAACAAUUAUUCUAAGCUCGAAUUCUUGAACCCUGAACUAGAGAUUAUGGGUUCUUGUCCCCAGCAGAGUCUCCAGAGAUGUCACACAUCCUUUUUCUACCACCGAAGGGGUAUAUAAGGGAGUUUGUCCAAUUUAAGUGACAAUCGAAACAGGAUUAUUUAUUUAGAAAUCAGAGUCACCAAUUGGGAUAAUUUAUGGUGUUCGAUGUCACCGGUUUAAAUCCCGAAUCGAGGAAAAGAUUGACUCUGUUUUACAGUCCGCAAACACAGAAAUUCGGGUAAGGAAUUCUGUUAACCCAGGAGAAGGUGUUAGGCAUUCGCGAGUUCCGUGGUUCUAGCACGGUCGCUCAACUGUUAUUAUUGGUCUAAUAAUCUGAUUUUAAAACACUUUUAAGCAUAUGUGUAUUUUUUAACUUUCUAACCGCUUUUAGUAUUUCAGGAAAAUUCAAGGUUAUUUAAAACACAUCGUAGGCCACUCUACAUGAAAUGCACCCGCGGUUCACGACACAUUCUAUUUAACCUUGUUGGAAAUUGGAAUCGGGUCACAUGAAAUGCACACUCAAAUUUUGUAAUUAAAAAUCACAGCUAUAUCAUGGGAACCAUACCCGUUGCUAUGACAAUUAUUUAAUUAACGCGCCUAAAGCAAACUACGAAAGUUCAAGGCAUUUUUUGUACUAGUUUUUGUAUUUAUGUGAGGGCCAUACAUUAUGGAUUUUGUUUGCAUAUGCACACCUCAAUUAUUUGUAAAAAAAAGAAUUAUUUCACUAAGGUAAACUAAAGAUACUCCUAUUUUAAUUUAAUUUAAAAUUAAAUAUCACCACCACGUCACGAGAAAUGUACCCGUAGUCACAAUGAUGAUUUAUUUUCAUGCCUAAAGGUUUGCCUACCCGGAUGUUGUGGCCUAAGUAUGUUCUUAGGACCAAUUAAGAGAAUAAAAGUAAUAAAUUUCAACUUUUUUUCAUUUAAUAACAAAGCUCGUGGCCACAUAUUAUUAAAAGUUUUUCUAAACCAAUACAACCCAUUCAAUUGAAGCGAAGCAUCCAAUCCUAGUAUACCAAACGAAAUGAAAUGAUUAUAAGAAAUCAAACCCCAGUUGACCCAGUGUAUUAAUUCAAAUGAAUUUCAUCCAAGCAAAUGUAUGGUUUCUGGAAAUUUCAACAGAGAGAUAGGAACAAAACUUAUUAAAAUUCAAUCCACUUUAAUCAUAGAAAUCCGCAUCGCCAUAAUCAAACCAACAAGGGAAAGCUAACUACUGUAGAUUAAUACACAUAAUGAUGAAGUAUGCAUUGAUUUCACAUUCUAACUUGAAUAAAGACGAGCAACAAAUCAUCGUGCUUAAGGUUUUCACAUAUCCUUUUCAUGCUAAAAUCAUAUCAAAAAUAGAAUAAUAGGGAAUCGACAAUGAACCUGGACUGAAAUUCUUCUUAGUAACAGUAGAGGAAUGAGCAUAUACAAUGUUUUUCUCCCAAAUUUAAACUGAGAACAACACAAUCAAGCAGAAACGCGAGCCACACCACGAACCUCAGACAAAAACUCGAAUCGGCAUCAAAACAAACUCAAUCGAACCCCGUCGAUUCCAUGGAAGAAAAGGGAGUGGCGAUGAGAGGGGGGCUGCUAUGGUGGUGGAAGAGCUCGACGACAGUGAGGCGCGACUGGGUUCUCUGAGGGGAUUGGUUUCCGACGAAGCAACGAUUGCUGGUGUGGGCUCCGCUGGAGAUGAGGAAAGGGGGGUCGUUUGGAGAAGACGAAGUCAGGGCGUGGGGUCAUUUAUGGCUGCGGCGGAUCUGUUUUUUCUCUUAGGUCUAGGUGUAUUUUUUUGCUAUUUCAGCUUUUUUUUACAGGCGUUAGGUGUUAGCCUAUAUAUGUAGGUCCUAGAGUCUAGGUUUAUAUUUUGUGUAUUUUCUUUUAGGUCCUUAGGGUCUUUUUAUUUAUUUUUGUACAAAAGAAGAGUCUAGAAGGGUCCCUAGGAUUAGCUUAAUGAGUAUUGGGUAUUGGGCUUAAGGAAUGGGCUAGAAACUUGGGCCUUUAUGACUAGAUAUGCUUAAAAUUAGCUUAAUUAACUAAAAAUCUAUCCAUAUAUAAAUAUUAUUAAAAAUAUUAAUUAUCCCUACUUAAGUAAAAAUAAUUAUUAAAAUAAGACUGACUGUUAUAACAAAAUUAUUUUUUGGUAUUUUUUCAAGAUUAAAAAUGACUACAAAACAUUAAUGAACCUAUUUUUGUAAUUUUCGUUUUCUUGUAAUAAAAGUAAAAGUAAAAGAGUACAAUGAGUUGAAAUAGCUAUAUUAGGCCUAAAUUAAAUAUUUACAUGCUAAAAUAUGUAAAAUCUUGGGGCGGGUCAAAAAUCACGUGUCUACAAAGCUGACGAUUUCUUUGAACAUUAUUUAAACCAAUUCUUGUGGAGACAAUUUAAUAACUAUACUAUCUUUGACUAGCAAGCCUAAGUUUUAUACACCGGUUUUGCGCUCGUUGAAUUUUGGCGCCGUGGAUUGGCGAUUAAUAGUGUUUAAAAUAGUUUUCGGUACUAAUUCAAGAAUCUUUUUUUUAAGUUCUUAUCUAUGUGCAGGAGAGCACUAUGGAGGAAAUAGGACAACAUUGAAGGUCAUGGAAGCCGAUUUUUACUGGCCAUCCUUGUACAAGGAAGCAAGAUCCUACGUGGCUACAUGUGACAAGUGCCAACGGACAGAUAACAUUAGUAAGAGGACGAGAUGCCCCUGAAUUCCAUUUUAGUAUGUGAAGUCUUCGAUGUCUGAGGCAUCAACUUUAUAGGUCCUUUCCCAUCGUCCCAUUCUUAUGAGUAUAUCCUAAUAGCCGUUGACUACGUUUCUAAGUGGGUCGAGGAAAUCCUUACUAGGACAAAUGAUGCUCGGGUAGUAUGUGAAUUUAUUCAUAAGAAUAUUUUCACCCAUUUUGGAACUCCCCAAGUCAUCAUCAGUGACAAUGGGUCACAUUUUGUUAAUAAAUAGUUUGCCUCACUGUUGUCUAAAUAUGGGGUGACUCAUAAAAUAAGAACUCCAUAUCAUGCUCAAACUAGUGGGCAAGUAGAAGUAGAUAACCGUGAACUCAAAAUAAUUCUAGAAAACACGGUCAGUGCUUCCAGAAAGGAUUGAUCAGUAAGGUUAGAUGAAGCUCCAUGGGCGUAUCAAACAUCGUUUAAGAUAACCAUAGGAACUUCACCUUUCAAGCUGGUACAUGAAAAGUCAUGUCACUUACUUGUGGAGAUAGAGAAUAAGGCUUAUUGGGCAAUUAAAUUGCUUAAUCUUGAUCUUAGUCUUGCAGGUGAGCACAGAAUGUCACAAAUGAAUGAGCUGGAGGAAUUCACAUUGGACGUGUAUGAGAAUGCACGAAUGUUCAAGGAAAAGACGAAGAAAUGGCAUGACCGUCUGAUUAAACCAAAAGAAUUUUAUGAAAGGGAAAAGGUCUUGAUAUACAAUAGUAGGCUCAUAUUGCUUCUCAAAAAAUUUAAGUCAAGAUGGAUGGCACCAUAUGUGGUGAAACAUGUAUCACCAUAUGGGGCGAUUGAGAUCCAAAACAUGGAAGGAACGGAGAGUUUCAAGGUGAAUAGGCACAGGUUAAAACCAUAUCUUGCUGGAGGAUUUGUUAACCAAUCCUAGAGCAUCAUAAUCAGUUAAAGGUCCCCACUCAACUGGAGACUAUAACUCAAAACUACCUCUAAUCUUUCUAAUAGUUUGAUUUUUCUUUUGUAGCUUAGGAUAGGCAAAAAUUUGGUGUACAGUGUGAGUUGGUGGUUAUGUUUGCGCAUAAAGCAGUAUCAACAAGUCCGAGUAUGCAUGGCCGCGCAUGUGAGGGUUUGACCGUGCAUAUAGUCGUGUAUAUGUUACAGAAACACUGGUAGUCAUCGAAGGCAACACAUGUUUUGACCCGACCGCGCACCGACUGUGCACCAGGUAAGCUCCCUAACCUCUUUUAUUUUAACCUGAAUUUUAGACCUGCACCCCUUUUUUCUCUUCUCUUCUUUUGCCCUUUUCUCUAUUCUCUCACCAAACCCAACCCUAAUCCGUUUCAAUCCACCCUCUCUCUCACACCUACACCAUACACACCAUCCCCCUCCCUCACUGUCUCUCCCUCGCCUCCUCUAAUCUAACCAACCAGUGUGUCAUCAUCACUUGAACCCUCGGGUAUGUAACUUCUUCCAUCUUUUUCAUUAUUUUAUUUUCUUUUUACGGUUCAAAGAAUGGUUUUCACCGCGGAUGAUGAACUUUAUGGCUGCUAUGUAUAUGAAUUAUUAUGUAUAUAGUCCAUCUACAGCUAAAAAUUAUUUUGUGUGGAAUAGCAGCAACUUUGUAUGUAAGGUGUUUGUUUAAAUGCCACAAUGAGAUUUUACGGUGUGUUUUCGAAAUUGUUGGCCACCUGAUGGUAAUCUAUAUAAUUUAAUUAGGUGAACUAGUAAUGGUGGCAUAUUUUAAUAUUGUGGAAUGGAUCCUUAUCAUGGCAAGGAGCAGUGUAUAUUUUAUCACUAUACGGAUGAAGCCUUAGUAACCCUUUUGGUUCGAAGAGUGGUAUAAUUUUUUAUAAUUGUUGGGUUGUUUUAGGUGCAAAAUGGCCACUUCAAAGAAAAGAAAAACCCCAAGCACAUCCACUAGUUGGCAACCGGGCACGUCCAAAUCUAAAGAUGUGGGCACUUCAAGGUCUUGUGCUUCCGCAUCCACUCACUCAUAUGAUCAAAAUAGGUUUGUCUCUUGGGAGGCCCAAGACUGGUUCCAUAGCAAGUCAAAAAAAAAGCCAAUACCUGAAAGCGGAAUAGAUAUCGGUUCUCUCCUCAAUGAGUGUUCCAGGGUUCAUGAUAAAUUAGUCCGGCGAGGAUUGGGAGCAUUCUUCAAAGAACAUGACGAGGCCAAUUUGACUGUUGUUAGGGAGUUAUAUGUGAAUUUCCCAGAACAUGAGGACUAUGUGUGUACAGUCAGAAAGAAAAAGGUGGACUUUUCUAAGGAAGCUAUCCAAAAGGCCUACCACUUACUAGAGUAUGUGGACCAAAUUGGUGAAACCAAUCACUUAGUGGAGAAUAACAAGCAACUUUACGUGUGGGCUAUGUUCUUUUAGACCAUCUAUGUGCCCGGGAAGGAGGUGGUGUGGUUAAUCAGGGACCACGAAUUUCACUUUGCUACACUAACUUUUGAAGGAAAGUGUUGGCUAUACAUCAUCAAUAAUCGCUUGAUGCCUUCCGGCAACACAAUUAAGGUGAAUGGUCCUCGGGCUGCUCUGAUUUGGUGCUUUGUAAAUGGACAAAACUUUGAUGUGGAUAAGGUCAUUCAAGAUGAGAUGACAAUUCGUUGUCCAGUGCAGAGGUAUGGGUUUUUUUCCAUCGUUAGUCACACGGUUGUGCCGUGAGGCACGAGUACCAAAAACAAGGCUACUGACGGAAAGGUAAAGAGAGAGGAAAUUUUCGUAUGAUUAUAUUAUCAUUGGGAGGGAACUUGUUGUGGCUGCUGAAGUUAAGAGUGAGGAGUUAGAUGCACCUGUAGAAGAAAGAGAGGUGCACGGGGAGGAUGUUGGUGCUAGUACCCCGCAUGAGCAAAUUGUCGGAGAAUCAUCAAGCAGUGUGUGGGAAACAAGAAUGAUUGCUUUGGAAUAAAAGAUGGUGGAGAUGUGCACUUCUGUUGAAGAUUUGGGUACUCGAGUAGAGUCACUUUCUAGGAAAAAUGCCAAGUCAGAGCGGAAGAUCAUGGCAUGGUUGUGCACGCUCGACCGGGCUUGUCACCUGGAUCCCGACACUAUCUCUAACACAGAUUGACCUAGUCAAGAAAGUUUCCUUUACCUUUGCAUUUUAAUUUUGUGACAUGAGGACAUGCCACUAGUUAAGUGUGGUGGUGGGGGUAUUGUAAAUAGCGUUGUUUAAAUUUCUUUCCUACAAAAAAGAAGCCCAAAAAUAUUUUCUUAUUUUUUUUAGGAUAACUUCUUCACUUGUACUUCCAUGGGUUUCUUGUUUGGUUCUUUAUAUGGUCUUAAUAUUUUGAACCAAACAAUUUCUAGAGUAGAUUUUUUUUUCUCUUUGAGAUUAGUUUUGAAAAGUUGUUGGUGGUUUGCAAAAAUUAACUGUUCCUAACUUAUGGGAUGCAUGAUCCUGUCCUUGUGAGUCAGAGAGACCAUUGGUGACUACGGUCUGAAUUGUGUGCCUAUCCAAAAUGCUAUGUGUGGUGAGGUGAAUAUUUGCUAGGUAAUCAUGACUCACAUGAUCUAGAACUUGGCUUGGUUGUGACUCAAGGCAAAAUCAUGGGUAAUAGUUGAGUUUGGAGAUGACUAUAGGCCUUCUUUGAUAGCCCUUCUUCUAUUGUUUUGAAACCUCCUAAGAACUGAUAAAGUUAUCCCUAGUUAGCCCAGUUGAGCCUAAUUCCCUCUUUCUUUGGCAACCACAUUACAACCUAAACCCGUAGCCGUCCCUAAGCACUUGAAUACCUUGUGUGUGAUUCUAAAAGAUAAAAAGACAUAAGUGUGGAGCUGGGGAUUGGUUUUGAGUAGAACUAAUGAGAAGUAGAAAAAGGUGCACCAUCAUGAAUGUAUGUGAGGUACGUGAGUAAGGGAUUGUGAAAAGAAUGAAAAAAAAAGAAAAAAAAAGAGAAAAAGAUAUGCUUUUGCUAAGUAAAGAAAUAAGAGUGAACAUUCCCCUGCUGAUGUAAAGUCCUUGUAUGUUGUGCUUAAAGAAAUGAGAACUCGGUGCUUUUCUGAAUUGGAGAUUUGGAGGCAAUUGUCACUGUAAAAAGUGUAGGUCAUGUAUAAAGUUGUAGGUAUUAAAAUUCUUAGGGAGGUGAAUAUACUAUUAUACAGAUUAUAUCCAACUCAUCCCAUAACCUACGUUACAACGAAAUGCAAAGUCCUACAAGAUUUAGACGAGAUUGUUCCUAUAUUAGUGGAGAGUUACACGAUAGCCAAGAUUGUGGUACUCUUGAAAGCAUGAUUCACUUCUUUGUGAGGGCGAGUGAGUGUUGUUUUAUAGCCCUAUGCUAUUGUUUGCAAUUGGUGUGUGAAUGAGCAUUGUCUCUUUAUUGUGAGGUGUAUUGAGGAUUUGGCGCCGAUUUGACCACGACACUAGUGGGAUAUCAUGACCGAAAUUAAGGUUGAAUGUGACCACAUGAUGGUAUCUAGUUCAUUCUGGCCGGCCACUUGUUUAAGGAGGUUGUAGGGUUAGGAGCAAUUUAGUUUUAGAUUUUCUCUGGACGAGCAAAAGCUAAGUGUGGGGUUGUUUGAUGAGCUUAAAAUUACUCGACAUUUAGGCCUUCUUUGUGUCCUUGAUUUGGUUAUUUUGAUAGAGAAUUAGUUUGAUUAUGGUCUAAUAUGUUGCCUUUCAGUGCAGGUGGUGCAGAGGGGAUAAAUGGACAGAUAGUGCACGAAGUGUGAGGAAAAACAAGCUGAAAGAGGAGAAAAUUCUCAUGCGCGGCCGUGAUCUCAUCCAAGUCACACCUCUAUUUAAGGUUAUGAAACAGUCGAUGCAAUAGUAUACCCAACAAGGAGCCGGGGUCGAUUUUUUCACAAGGAGUCGGGUUUUACUACCUCUAGGUUCAACCCUUUAAUUGGGCUUAUCAAUCUCUCGAUUGACCCAAUAUCUUGUUAGCCAAGUUUUCCUGGACUAAGUCUCUCUUUCUCAAGUAGAAACUAAGUCAAAUAGACAUGAACUAAUGUUUGCAACCAUUAAUUCUGCAAUUAAAAGCAAGAACAAGACUAAAUAAUAAACUCCCAACUAUAAACAAGAAAUAAAUCAAACACCAAUUAAGAUUACACUCUAAAAUUGGGUCACAACCCUAGGAAAGAAAUCUAGCUACUCAUACUUAAGAUAGAAGAAAUAGAAGAAGAAAUGAUAAUUAAACCCAUAUUGAUAAUUAAAAUGAUGAAAUCUAUGUUCGAAAAGCUCAAAAUAGCAAAAACUACUAAAGAGAGUUAAGAAAACCAUCUACUGUAGCAGCUGAUGUCCAAAACUUGAUCUAAAAAAGUGAAACUCUUCUAUUUAUACAGGGCUGACAUUUUCGGACAAAAAUACCCUUUCAGAGGUUCUGCGGCCGUACAAUUCCAUGUGCGGUCCGCACUUUGCUUCAGCCUGACAGGAUUGGAAAUCUACGAGCACAUAAUUCUGAACUACGGCUGCACUUCUUUCUUUCUGCGGUCCGCACAAAUGUGUAUGUGGCCACACCUUGCUCUUCUAUGGUCCGCACAAAUGAGAUGGCGGCCGCGUAGCUGUUCUUCUGCGGCCGCACAAUAUUUGUGUGGCAUGUACUUUUGUUGAACUUGAGAUAUAGGUUCUCUGAACCUUUUUUGUUACACAGUUUCUGUUGCCGCACUUUUCAUAUACGGACUGCACUUUUCAUACUUCUCUGAUGGGGCAUUUCUUCACAUCCUACGGUCGCAGAUGAUAAUCUGUCGUCCACACUUCUGAGCUUCUUAGCCUGCUUUUGUCCUUGAGUUCAGAUCACUCCUUCUUGAGUUGGAUUUCAUUUUGGGAGCUCAUCUUCCAAUAUUCCUGCAAUUAAGCACAUUUCAUUAGUUUACAGGACACAAUUAAGCGCUUUUGGACUAAAAUGAAAGUAAAAAGGCGCUAAUAAGUAGUCAAAAGCCCCACUUAUCAACUCCCCCAAACUUAAGUUUUUGCUUGUACUCAAACAAAUAAGGUAACUCCCACCUCCACAAGUUAAGAGCUAUUCCAGCUAAUCAAAGAUGCAUCAAUCACACAUCAAUUGGGACCAACAAUUACCCACAACACUUAUAAAUUAUCAACAAGGCAAUAGGUUGAACUUUUAAGCACAAAUAGUUCUAAUAUGAUACUUGGGCAUCAAAAGUUGACUUUAUUCAUCAAGGAAGCUCGUUCUUUCAUUUAGGUCAUUAUGGAUCCCAAACUCCUCUUCCUCUACUCUCCAUUUGCAUAUCUCACGUAAGAAUAUAGCACUCAAUUCAGAGAUUUGUGAUAGGUUCGCUCAUCUCUCUUAAAAAAUAUAUUGCAAGUACGACCCUAAGUACCAUAUGCUUGCCCCUCAUGUAAAUAACCACUAAUGUAAGCUCACUUGGCUUAAAAUCACGUAGGGCUUUUUCGGAACUCAAAGAAGGCUUUUGGACUAAGGUUGGAUAUGCUAUGAUAGAACAGAUUCAUCUUUCCUUAAGCACUCCAUUUUCUCUUAUCGGCUCAUGUUUUGCCAACUCUUUGAGGCAUUUUCUUUUUCUUAGGGGAAUUAGAGAGACCUACGUCACUCUUUCUUGGUCAUGAUAUUCAUUUUCUCCUUCUUUGCUUUCUCCAUGCUUUGCAUCAUUACUUUCCUUUGAAUUCCUUCAACUCUUCAACUUAUUCACUUUCGUUUUGCAUUUUUCUUUUUGUUUUUUCUUUCUUUUCCUUGCCUUUCCUUCUCUUCAUUUCUUUUCUCUUCUUUGUGCCUUGAUACCCUUUUCAAACUCUUCGCCUCUCUCCCAAACUUAUGUUUUUAUCCAAUUGUUACACAAGAGUGUUAAGGAAAACUCGGGUGCCAAGAGAGGGUCAUGACAAAACGGGUAAAGGCUUGUAACAUGGUUAUCAAAUGAGAAAGGUUUUAGGCUCAAAUGGGUUGACUAGGGAUAAAAUAUUGGUGGGCUAUGGAAAACAAGCGGGUCAAGGAGAGCAUACAAUCACUUCUCAAGCCAAGAAGAACUUGAAAUUUUACCUUGAAACACUUUCGGGGCAAGUUCUAGACCAUUCGCACGGAUACUUUGACUUGCAACAGAAAUAUCUUACUUCUCACGUAGCUAGAUUGUUAAAGAGGAUAGAGUCGAGGGCCCACAAAGACUAGAAUCAAUAUUGAAAAUCAUUACGAUUUGACUAAACCGCUCGAUGAUUGCUUAAGUCAACACAAGAGUCAAAAUAUUACUAACUAGAGUUAUUUCUUUCCAAAAGCUUAUUUUUAACCAUAAGCAUAUAGUUAAGUGUGUUGGUACCGAGUGAAGAAUGUUUGACUCUUCGAGCCUGACUCAAUUAGGUAUUUUUAUUCAUUAUUACUACUAUUCUUACCUAAAUACGAAAAAUGGACUCAAUCCCUUAAGAAAGUUGUCACGCCAUCCAUCGUUGGGAAGAGUUACCCGGUUCACACAAAAACUACCUUUGGAAAGAACCAUGGUAUUAAGAAAACCAAAGGCUUAUUGUCCACUCAAACAUAAAGAGAAGCUACUAAAUUAAAUAGAAGCUACUAAAUUAAAUAUUGACUAAUAAGAAAAUAGAAUAAAGAAGCUACAAAGCAAACUACUGAAAGCAUAAUGAAUAUACAUAAUGAGAGAGGAAAAGAGAGAAUAUAUAUACAUCAGCGAGAGAGGGAGAAAGGAGAGAAUAUAUACAUGAUAAAGAGAAAGAAGAAAAUUAUUGUCAGUCAUUACAAAUCAAAUGUCUAGAAAUCAUCAAAAUAACAAAUAAACUCCACCCCUCCCCCCCUCCCCCGAAUAAAAAUAAGCGUUGUCCCCAAUGCUUAACAAAAAAAAAUAAAGAAGGGUAAGAGUGAAGAGGACUCCCUAUGUGGCCUUGAACAACUCCGUGUCUAUAGCAGCAUCACCGCCCUCAGUCUCCUCUAACUAGAUCUCAUUAUCCUCGGCUCUGGGAGUAACUGGUUUGGUGAACAUUUGGCUCACCACCUCAGCAGCAUCGGCAGCCAAGUCUGGCUCCUCAGAUUGACCAGCUGGUGCCACUGAAACUAAUGGUGUUUUGGGAUCUACUGGUGAUGGUGGAUCUGUCUCCAUCAGUAUAUCAAAUGGGAGAUCACCAGCUGUUGCUAUCAUGGUCACCUCUCUCCUCAGCCUGUCAACUAAUUUCUUGGACGCUUGGGAUUUCUUCAUUUUCUUUACCUGCUUCUCCAGCUCCUCAAUCAUUACUCCAUGUGUACCAAGGUAUUCAUGAUGGUGGUCUAGUUCUCCAAGAUCUUCUUCAAUGUUCCUCUACUGUUAGAGUAAUCUGGGGUGCCAGAGUGGAUGAUUGUGGCUGCAACAAUACUGGAUAUGUCAGACUAUUUUGUAGUGGUUGUCUGCAUCCAGUUGUUGAGGCCCGCCAGUGUCUGGGAGACUCGCAAUGUAGAUAACGGUUGAUUGGGCACAGGUAUCGGCUUCAAGGCCAAGGUGGAAGGUUGAUGCUGAAGGUGGAGGCAUUGCAGCUGCACUAACAGAAGGCACUGCUGAAGUGGAAGGCAUAUAUGCUGACUUUGCAGCUACCACCGAAGGCGCAUCAGACUGGCCUAUGGUAGUAGUCGGCUGACCCUUUUUCUUCAGGUUCUUUAGGUCCAUCAGAGAAUACCAAGAGAAAGGCUUAUUUGCCCGAACCUUUGUGUCAAAAUCCUUGUUUUCUACCCGUGCAUUUGUAAGGUACUCCGUGAUAGUAUUGGGAUAAGGGUAGGAGGUGUCACCUUGCCUGGCGACCACAAACAUAUUGGCCGACAUCAAGGCACACACAUUGAUUAGGUACCCGACCAUGAUAUAUGCAACUAGCAUUGCCCGCAAAAUUGGAAAAUUGGUUUCAUUUUGGCACAGGUCUAGUCUGUUACACACAAAUGUAUGUCAUCCCUUUACCUCAACAUUCAGGGUGUUCCGCUGAAUAAGAACCCUUGUAGUGAUCUAUGGUAGUGGUGGACCCGGGGCCGCAAGAAUCUCAGUUAGCCAUAGGCGAGCUGCGUCUCCCAGUGCUAACGUUUCCCGAUAUUGCACAGGCUCCACAUCCUCAAACCCGAAAUACGUGUUUAGGGUGUUCUGAUCGAACCUCACCUUUAGAUUUCUCACUUUUGUUACCUUGGUCCCUUUCUUUAUAUGCACCACAUUAGCAUAAAAUUCCCAGAUCAGGUAGUCCUUAGCAUCUACCAUACUCUAGCUGAACCACAUCCACCCCUUCCGCUCCCGGAACUGUCUCAACACUGCUUGGUUGUAUUUACCUAGGUCUUUCAACAUGAACUGAAGCUCAAGAGUGAGCAAUCUCACCUGCCACCAAUCUUGAAACUUGUGAAGGCAUCUAGACUAAUAAACCUAUCUUCCCACAUCUCUUUAUUCUUCGACCUCUCAAGGCCAACAACUCUGGUAUCACCCCCUCGGCCAUAUCAUCACAUCCACUGUAGUAGCUGGUGUGUUGGGGGCAUGUGUAGAUGAGGGCUCUGAAGCCUGACUGUCACCUUCCAAACCCUUGGAAGUGCUCUCAGAAGUGGAAGGCUCGCCUUGGAGUUGAUAUCUUCCCUGAAGCUGUUGUGACUAUGAUUGAACAACAAGCUGCUCUUGCACUAAUUUGCCCACCGAUGUUUCCCUAUAUGGGACAUAAGAGCUUGAUUCGGCUAGUUCUGCAGGUCUACCUCAAUCAGCGGUCGCCUUUUUGGAUAUAGCUCUUUGAAGGGCGAGGGGUAAGGCACUCUUGCCUCGGCCUCUGGAAGGUUCACCUUUCCCCUUUGAUGUAUCGCCACGACCUCGUGAUCUAACCAUUUUCUGUAACAAACAGUAGUAUGAGUUAGUUCUAGUUCAAGUGCAGAAAAACAGACAUUCACAGAACAAAACAUGUUGCAGGGUGGGGAAGUGCGGACCGCACAAAUGCAAGUGUGGCCACAGACUAGGUUGUGCGGACCGCACUUGAAAGUGCGACCGCAGAGAUGAAACUACGGUCCGCACAAUCUUAAGUACGAGCACAGAAUUGAAGUGCGGUCCGCACAUUUUUGAGUGCAGCUACACAUUAGACUUUUCAAAAGUUCCCACUCUCUGAUGACUGAGAUUUGCCUGAUCUGCACCCGCUCACACUUUUUUGUGGCCGAGAUGGAAUUUUUGUAGUCCGCAAAAUUUCAAGUGCGACCGUAUAAUUGACUUGACCAAAGACCCUAGAUUGCAUCUUCUGCAUACCGCACAAUUGCUUGUGCGGCCGCAGAUUUCAAAAUCAAAACAAGCAGACUUUUAGGGUUUUCAAGUUUUUGCACAGAUUCAACAUGGUAUUAAAAAUUAAGCAGGAAAAUGAAUUCACCCAGUCCCAUAAAGAAAUUAGGAGUUGACCUAUUACAGAUUAACCCCUACAUGGUAUUAGAAUUGAAAUCUAUUGACAAAUGGCCUAAAACUACCUAAAAAAUUGUAAAUUAAACUAAGAAAAUUUAAAAAUUGCAUGAGAAAUUGAGCAUACCAGCUAUGAAGGAGUGCAACUAAAUGAUCACAGGUGUAGAUGGAGUGUGGCACAUGAUCGAACAGAUGAUUUCAAAGUGUUAGAGUUUAGAGUGCUCAGAGAGGGAAAACCUUGUACAGUAGCCCAAGGAUACUAUUUAUACUAGCAGGCAAACUUUGGGAAACAAAGGAGGAGUGCGGCAGCAAAAUUCCUUCUGCAGUCCGCACUCUGUUACCUGAAGGCUCAGUAGCCUUGCUGAUCUGCGGUACACACAAUUUGUAGUGCGACCGCAGAAUUUGGCUACAGACCAUAUAAUUUGGUGUGCGGCCGCAGAAUGGCUAAUUCUCUAACAAACCAAAAUUCAGAGAGUUUGCAUUUUCCCCAUCCAAUUUGUGUGGUCCGCACUACAGUUGCCUUCUGCUGUAGCAUUCAAAAUUAUGACGUUCGCAUAAUACAUGUGCGGUCCGCACUUUUUUUAUACUUCGCCAAUUUUUCUGAGCAUAGUUCCUGUAAAGCACACUCAUUCCUGCAACACACAUCAAAUCCAGUUAGCAUAAAAUAAGACCUAUCUAAAGAAGAAGAAAAGAAAAAGAAACAUGGGUUCCCUCCAAAGAAGCGCUUGAUUUAAUGUCACGGCAUGAUGCUAAUUACCAUCACUUGAAAUAUACCUCCACGACGUGGCCAUCACCAACUCUUUCCAAAUAAUACUUCACCCGGUGACCAUUGGCUCUAAACACCUCAUCAUUUUUAUUCUUCAAGUCCAAUGCACCAAAAGGUGUCAGUCCCACAACCUCAAACGGGCCACUCCAUUUAGACUUUAACUUUCCGAGAAACAUCUGUAACCGUGAAUUGAACAAUAACACAAGAUCACCCUCUUUAAGCUCUUUGUUCCAAAUGUACUUGUCAUGAAGAUAUUUCAUCUUCUCUUUGUAUAAGGACGAACUUGUAUAUCCAUGGUACCGGAACUCAUCCAACUCAUUCAAAUGUGCCACCCUUAAGUUGGUGGCGACAUCCCACUCAAGAUUCAACUUCUUUAAAGCCCACAUGGCUUUGUGCUCAAGUUCCAUCGAAAGAUGACAAGCUUUUCCGAACACCAACCGGUAUGGAGACAUUCCUAUAGGUGUUUUAUAAGCCGUCCUAUAAGCCCAUAAAGAAUCAUCAAGUUUCUUGGACCAAUUCGUCCUGUUAGCAUUCAUAGUUUUGGACAAAAUACUCUGUAUCUCCCGGUUAGAGACUUCCACUUGACCACUUGCUUGUGGAUGAUAGGGAGUCAUGACUUUAUAAGUGACACCAAACUUGGUGAGUAAGGUGUCGAAAGCUUUGUUGCAAGAAUGCCCCCCCCCCCACCCCUCUAUGAUAGCCAGCGGAGUACCAAACUUUGUGAAAAUAUUCUUCUUCAAAAAUUCCACCACACUUCUUGCUUCAUUGUUGGGUAAAGCAACGGCCUCAACCCAUUUGGACACAUAAUCAACCGCGACCAAGAAGUAGGUAUUUCCACAAGGACCCAUGGAGUCAGUAGCCCACCUAUCGAAAAUAUCAAUCUCAAAAAUGGUGGUGAGGGGCAUUUCAUUUUUCUUUGAGACUCCACUGGCCCUUUGACAUUCAUCACAACACUUGACUAGAUCACUUGCAUACUUGUAAAGAGUAGGCCAAUAGAAACCGCAACUUAGCACUUUGGCCACUGUUCUUGCUCCACCAUGGUGACCACCUACGGCGAAGAAUGACAAGCCCCAAGAAUUUCAAAUUGUUCCUCCUCUAGUACACAUCUUCUAAUCACUCCAUCCGUAUAAAUCCGGAAUAGGUACGGUUAGUCUUGAAAAGCCCGUUUGAGCUUCUUCCUUUGGUUUGAAGAGAACUCAUCCGAGAUGAUACCACUUACAAGAAAAUUUGCUAGAUCCGUGAACCAUGGCUCCUCUUUCAUUGAAAUAGCCAAGAGUUAUUCAUCUAGGAAGGAGUCAUUGAUUUCAAGGCCAUCAUGUAGUCCCCCUCCUCCUCCAAACGAGAAAAGUGGUCCGCCACUUGGUUUUCACUUCCUUUUCGAUCUUGGAUGUCUAUACCAAACUCUUGCAACAAAAGCACCCAUCUCAUCAAUCGGGCUUUGGAAUCUUUCUUGCUCAUAAGAUAAUGAAGUGUCGCAUGAUCCGUAUGGACAAUGACUUUUGCACUCAUCAAGUACGGGCGGAACUUCUCAAUAGCAAACACAAUGGCAAUGAGCUCUUUCUCCAUAAUGGUGUAUUUGACUUGGGAACUAUGCAUGGUCUUACUAGCAUAGUAGACCGGAUGAAAAAUCUUAUUGAUGCGCUGCCCCAAAAUAGCCACUACCACUACAUCGCUUGCAUUGCACAUGAGCUCAAAAGGAACACUCCAAUUUGGAGCGGUGAUUAUGGGAGUAGUAUUCAACUUGAACUUUAGAAAUUCAAAGUCUCUCAUGCAUUCAUCAAGUGGAACUUAGCAUAUUUCUCCAAAAGCGUGCACAAUGGGUUCACCGCUUUAGAGAAAUCCUUGAUGAAACACUGGUAAAAUCCCACGUGGCCUAAGAAACUCCACACGCCUUUAACCGAAGUUGGAGGUGGAAGUUUAGAAAUCACCUCAAUCUUUGCCUUUUCGACUUCAAUGCCAUUAUUUGAGAUCUUGUGGCCAAGGACAAUGCCUUCCUCGACCAUGAAAUGCCAUUUCUCCCAAUUGAGCCCCAGGUUUGUUUUUUCACAUCUUGGCAACACUUUAUCCAACUUUGCGAGACAAUCAUCAAAAGAAUUCCCGACCACUGAGAAGUCAUCCAUGAAGACUUCAAGGUAAUCCUCCACCAUGUCCAUGAAGAUUGCCAUCAUACACCUUUGAAAAGUCGUCGGUACAUUGCACAACCUAAAUGGCAUCCGCUUGAAGGCAAAAGUACCAUAAGGACAUGUAAAGGUAGUCUUCUAUUGAUCCUCCGGAGCAAUACGAAUUUGGUUGUAGCCGGAAUACCCAUCAAGGAAACAAUUUGAAGCACGUCCGGCCAAUCUAUCAAGCAUUUGAUCUAAGGAAGGGAAGUGGAAAAUGGUCCUUCUUUGUGACUUUGUUGAGCUUACGAUUGUCCAUACACAAUCUUCACCCGGUCACCGUUCUUGUUGGAAUCAAAUCAUUCUUAUCAUUGGUGACCACCAUCAUACCCCUUUUUCUUUGGGACACAUUGAACCGGAAAAGUCCACGAACUAUCGAAAAUGGGGUAGACAAUCCUGGCAUCCAACCACUUGAUAAUCUCCUUUUUGACAACCUCUUGCAUGGCUUUAUUGAGUUUCCUUUGAUGUUCAAUAGAUGGUUUUCCACAUUCCUACAAGUUAAUCUUGUGCAUGAAAAAUACAGGGUUUAUCCCUCGUAUAUCCUCCAAUGUCCAUCCAAUAGCCUUCUUCCUCUUUUGUCACCGCCAGUGUAAAGUCUACCUGCACGUUAGUCAAACAAGUGGAAAGAAUAACUGAUAAAGUAGAAGAAGGGCCAAGAAAUUCAUACCGAAUAUGUGGAGUCAAUGGCUUCAACUCCAAGAUAGGAGUCUCUUCAAUUGAAGGUUUUCUAGGAGGAGUUGUCCUAUUUUCAAGAUCCAAGGACAAUUUGCGGGGUUCAUAAGUGUACAACCACAUUCCUUGCAAAGAGUUCACACAUUCCAUGAAUCCAUCCAUCUCAUCAUCAUCAAAGUUGAGCAAGAUGGCCUCCAAUGUAUCAUUAACAUUCAUCACAACACUUGUUUCAUCUACAAUCACAUCGGUCAUCAAGUCCAUGAAAGAACACACCUCUUUGCUAUUGGGUUGCCUCAUGGACUUACACACAUGGAAAAUCACGUUUUCAUCACUAAGCCGGAAGGUAAGUUCUCUGGCUUCAACAUCAAGUAGAGCCUUCCUCGUAGCAAGGAAAGGUCUGGCACCUCAUAAUCAACCUCACUAUCAAGAAUGACAAAAUCCGCCAGAAGAAUGAAUUUAUCAACACGAACCAAUACAUCUUCAAUCACUCCUAAUGGUCUCUUCAUGGUACGAUCGGUCAUUUUUAAUCUUAUAGAUGUGGGUCUUGGUUUCCCAAUUCUCAAAGUCUUGAAAACUAACUAGGGCAUCAAAUUGAUACUUGCCCCAAGAACACAAAGAGCUUUUGCAAACUCAGCACUUCCAAUUGUAUAAGGAAUCGUGAAAGCGCCAGGAUCCUCCAACUUGAGAACCAUUGAAUGCACAAUUGCACUCACUUGAUGAGUCAAUUUUAUAGUUUCAAAAUUCAUCAACCGCUUCUUUGUCACUAAAUCCUUCAUAAACUUUGCAUAACUGGGCAUUUGCUCCAAGGCUUCAACCAAUGACACAUUGAUUGAUAGACUCUUCAUCAUGUCAAUGAACCUUUUGAAUUGAUUCUCGCCAUUUUUCUUGGCAAGACAUUGAGGAUAUGGAGGAGGAGGCCUAGGCAUUGGUUCCUUAUCCUUUUACACUACUGGUUCCGGUAUGUCAACAAUGUGAUCCCUAGACGGGUUCACUUCCUCUUAAGCUUCUUCCACAUUGUUAUCAAUAUCAAUCCGCACUUCAUCAUUUUCUUGCACCACAUGGUUCGGGGUCUCAUCUUCUUGAACCACUUACUCAUCAUCCAUAAGUUUCCUUUGACUUGAGGUGGGUGAAUCCCCACCUUUUCCACUCCUUGUAGUAAUGUCCAUGGCAUGUCCCGUGUUGUUCCCACCCUUUGGGUUCACCACCAUGUCACUUGGUAGUUCCCUCUUAGGACGAGUGUUUAGAGCGUGAGAGAUUUGCCCUAUUUUAACUUCCAAGUUGCAAAUUGAUGUGUUGUGUGAGGCUAGUUGGGCAUCGGAGUCGGAAUUCUUCUCCAUCCUUUGUUUGAACAUAUUCUCAAAUUGUCCCAUCUCAUUGUUGGAAGAACAAGGACCAUGGGAAGGAUAAGGAGGUGGGUUGCUCGGUUGUUGAUACAUCGGGGGCCUUUGAAAAUCCGACCCCCAAUUGCCUUGAUUAAUGUUCCAUCCCCCUUGGUUGUUGCCUCCCCAAUAUCCUUGGUUGUUGCCACUCCAAUUGCCUUGGUUAUUUCCACCACUCCAAUUUCCUUGAUUGUUGUUAUUAUUCGAAUUCCCUUGUUUGUCGCCACCACUCCAAAUACCUUGGUUGUUAGAAUUGUUAUUACCUUGAUUACCUUGAGGUCGCCAUUGUUGUUGAUUCAGGCCUUGAGAGUUGUUUCUUUGCCCUUGAAAGUUGUUCACGUAUUGCACUUCCUCCUCUUAUUUAUUGUAAGAUUCAUCUUGAUCAAACCUACUAUCUUCUUGCACAUAAUUCUCCACACGGUUUUGCACUUGUGGACCCUUGGGCCUUCUUUUGUUCACCAUCAUACUAACUCCGUCCAUGCCAUUAACUUGCUUAAGACUUUGCACUGGUUGAAGUUGAGCCUUGGCUAAUUGAUUCAUUAUGGUGGUCAACUCGGCAAUGGCUUGCCCAUGAUCAUGCAAUUCUUUAUGUAGCGUUCGGAUCACCUUGAGGAACAUUUGCCCUACUUUGCCAUGCCUAUAAAGUGUCCGCCAUUUCAUUAAAAUCUUAUAAGCUUGCACAUACGGCGUUGUCAUGAAAUUUCCACCAGCAAGUUGAUUGACCAUGCACUGAUUGGUAGUAUUGAUCCCCCGAUAGAAGGUUUGUUGAAUCAUAGCCUCUGUCAUGUCAUUACUGGGGAACUCUUUGACCAUAGUUUGGUACAUAUCUCAUAUUUCAUGCAACGGCUCAUUGAGCUCUUGUUUGAAUGCUAGAAUCUCAUCUCUAAGAGUAGUCAUAUGUCGGGGAGAAAAUAACUUGGAAAUAAAAUUCUCAGCCAACUCAUCCCAUGUAUGGAUGGAAUGGUUUGGUAAUCUCUCUAACCAAUCCAAGUCUUUCCCCCGUAGAGAGAAAAGAAAUAUCCUCAAUCUUAAAGCAUCAUCGGAGAUGUUUGUCUGUUUACUCCCCCAAUAAAUGUCCAAAAACCUCUUCAAGUGUUUGUAUGCAUUUUGACUAGGAGCCCCGUGAAGAAUCCCCGCUGCUCUUGCAAUGUAAGCAUUACAUUCGUGAUUUGAAAGUUGACUACCCUAAUAUGAGGCGGGACUAUGGCACUUGCAUACCCUUCAUUCGGCAACACCCAGUGUGGAGCCGCUUUUGGUGGAGGUGGGUGUAGAACUAGGACGUUGUCUUGAGGCGGUCGGCCUCUUCUAUUUGCUUGAGGUUCAAGAGAAACCUCUUACACUUGGUCAUCUUCAGCGUCCACAUCCCCCAAAGGCAUGUUUCUGAGUUGAUCAUUAUUGAGGGCCAUUGUUACACCUACAAUUAAUUCACAAAAAUCAGUAACAAGGAAGGAAAAGAAGACAAUUCACACAUAAAACUAAAUAUAUAGCUAAAUUCGUUUUAGCUCCUCGGCAACGACGCCAAAAAUUGAUCUCGUCCAAGUCACACCUCUAUUUAAGUUUAUGAAAUGGUCGAUGCAAUAGUAAUACCCAAUUAGGAAUCGAGGUCGAUUUUCCACAGGGAGCUAUGAAUGGGACUUAGGGGUAUAUAUUAUAGUGUGUGAGAUUGAGUUAUCUCAAAUUGCACUUCCACAAUCUUGGGUUGUUUCUAGGUCUAAUUUAAUCUAAGAUUACAAACUAAGAAUUGAAAUUAGGAAACUGUUUUUGUUGUUAUUUUUCAAAUGAUAUAAAAGGCCUAGGGCUAUGACCUUCACCUGGGUUUUUGCCUAAUAAGUUGUAAACUUUAAUGCUUGUUUUAUUGGUCGGGAUGUAUUAUAGCUAUCAACACUCAAGUACCCACUCAAUACCUCUCGGUCAAAGAGUAAUUUUUCCCAAUUUGACUUUCCCAAUUUCAAAUUGGUAUUGAACAAAACGGCUGAUACAAAGCUCAAGUCGGGUUUUACUAUCUCUAGGUUCAACCCUUUAAUUAGGCUUAUCAAUCUCUCGAUUGACCUAAUAUCUUGUUAGCCAAGUUUUUCUGGACUAAGUUUCUUUUUCUCAAGUAGAGACUAAGUCAAAUAGGCAUGAACUAAUGUUUGUAACCAUUAAUUCUACAAUUAAAAGCAAGAACAUGGCUAAAUAAUAAACUCUCAACCAUAAACAAACAAUAAAUCAAAUACCCAUUAAGAUUACACUCUAGGGUUGGGUGACAAUCCUAGUAAAAAUCUAGCUACUCAUGCUUAAUAUAGAAGAAAUAGAAGAAGAAAGGAUAAUUAAACCCAUGAUAAUUAAAAUGAUGAAAUCUAUGUUCAAAAAGCUCAAAAUAGCAAAAACUACUAAAGAGAGUAAAGAAAAUUGUCUACUGUAGCAGCUGAUGUCCAAAACUUGACCUAAAAAAGUGAAACUCUUCUAUUUAUACAAGGCUGAAAUUUUCAGACAAAAAUGCCCUUUCGGAGGUUCUGCGACCGCACAAUUCCAUGUACGGUCCUCACUUUGCUUCAGCCUAACAGGAUUGGAAACAUGCGGCCGCAUCAUUCUGAACUGCGGCUGCAUACCUUUUUUUCUGUGAUCUACACAAAUGUGUCUGUGGCUGCUUCUUGCUCUUCUACGGUCCGCACAAAUGAGAUAGUAGCCACGUAGUUGUUCUUCUGCAGCCGCACAAUAAUUGUGUGGUCUGCACUUUUGUUGAACUUGAGAUGCAGGUUCUCUAAACUUUUAAUCUUUCCCAAUUUCUGCGGCCGCACUUUUUACACUUCUCUAAUGGGUGUUUCUUCACAUCCUGCAGCCGUAGAUGAUAAUCUGUUGUCCGCACUUCUGAGCUUAUGUGCAUGUUUUUGUCCUUGAGUUCUGAUCACUCCUUCUUGAGUUGGAUUUCAUCUUGGGAGAUCAUCUUCCGAUAUUCUUGCAAUUAAGCACAUUUUAUUAGUUUACGGGAACACAAUUAAACGCUUUUGGGCUAAAAUGAAAGAAAAAAAAUGUUAAUAAGUAGUCAAAAUCCCCACUUAUCAAGACGCGCACUAGAAGCCACAAACUCACAAGGGUCAUAGAAAAACUGGUAGAGGUGUGUGGCCAUAUGCGCCCCUAUACACCAAGAUGCGCGGCUGCGCACGUCUGUCUCCGGGAAUUUUAGUCAGGCCUAUUUUUGUAAAUUGGGAGGCAUCCUUUUAACCUAUAUAAAGCCUAAUAUUGUCCCAAAACAUGGCAUUUCGGAUUUAUGGAGUAACCUUUGGAGAGAAGAAGGCAAGGAAGAUCAUAGACUUUUGAAUACUUCAUCUGAAUCAUUCAAUACGAAAGUUGGUUUGAAUUUGCGGGUUAUAAUAUUUCUUGUCCUCUUAUUACUCUUUGAUGAACAAUUUCUCCACUAUGGAGUAGUCCUUCUUAGGGUUAUUGAUAAAUAUUAUGAAUUGAUUAUUAAUCGGGGGUUUGAUUGCUGUUAGUUUCUCGAAUUUGUCGAACGAGUUCUGAAUUAAUUUACAAAGGUACACGGGGUUUCACUUUAAUCGGAAGAAAAGUGGGCAGCAGUUAUCAUUGUGUUAUCCUGUUUGGGUUAAUUUCAUGACUCUCAUAGGUAAUCGAAUGAGCUUGUAGAGUUAUCAACUGACCAAAUUUAGAGUAAUAGUCGAGAGACGUUCCUCGUAAGAACAUUCAUUCAAUGUAUUCGUGCAUACGUUUCAUAGCACUUGCCAUUAGGUUGUUUAACAGAACUCUUAUUCAUUCGGAAGAAGAAUUUGAAUCCUUAAUAUAGCCUAAUCAUCUGUUGAAAUCGAAAGUGUCAAUAGAAUUUAAGAGUGAACUUAGCAUAGAGUUAUCCCGAAUAUAGUUGAUCACAUAUCUUGUCAAGCCCUUAUUUCUCACAUUGAUAUUCAAUCGUUGCUACUUAGUCACUCAAUUUUCAUUAUUCAUUUACAAUUGAUAAUCUUAGUUUUUAUUCUUAGUUCAUUAAUAAAUCAAAAUCAAAGGUUUAUUUUCCUGAAUAGUGUUAAGCUGAAGAUUCAUUUGAACAUUAUUUAAACCAAUCCCAGUGGAGACGAUUUAAUAACUAUACUAUCUUUGACUAGCUAGCCUAAGUUUUAUACACCGGUUCUGCGCUCGUCAGUAGGGAGACGAAAAGGGAUAGUACAAGAAUAUUGUUCAUAGGUGCAUAACAACAUCAUUUUUUUUACUUAUUAAGAUUUAACAUGUUGGCCGGAGAGUUGUAUUUUAGUAAAACAAGUAAUACAGGAGGAUGAUAUAUCCUUAACCUCAAUAAUACAACAUAACGAUAAAAAGUUAUCCUUCAAAAACUGGGAAGGGGAAUUUUUUGCAUUCCUUACCCAGUCCAAAAUAAAGAUUAGACUAACAAAAAAACUUGUCUUAUUAUACUUAGUUCUGAUGCUAGGCAUUUGGUAUUUGUCUAAUUGAUAUGUCCCUUUGAAACUUUUUAGAAGUUGUUGGAAUGAGAAGUAGUAGGAUCCCUCUGUUGAUGUAGUAUCAAGUUUAGAAAGGGAAUCCGCAACUUGAUUGGCCUCCCUAUAGCAAUGUAUAAUAUUAACAUUAGCAUGAUCCAACAUCUGAGAAGUGUAUUCUAUAGUUAUAAGCUCUCUUCUUCUUCAGCAUAUUAGUCACAAUCAUGGAGUCUAAUUCUUGAGUAAAAUUUAUGUAUCCAUGUUCAAUAAAACAAUUUACUCUAAACAAGCCGCCUGAGCUUCUACAUAGUUGUUGCUACUGCACUGAGUGGGAUAGAGAAGGCCAUAACUAUGUCGCCAUCAUCAUUCCUUAAAAUCCCUCCCAUUCCAGCUAUGUUAUUCGCCUUUAGGAAGCUACCAUUAGUAUUUAGCUUGAAAGUGUCUGUCUCAAGUGUGUUCCAGAGAACUAUUGUGAUCCUUGGGAUAGGAUGUAGCUUCACUAGGUUGUCACAAAGAUUAUUCCAGGGAAGACAGAGCUUGCAGUUCGGAAAGGCUUUAGAUAUAGCUGAUCCAACUAUCCAACAAACGUGUUGGCCCAUUUUGAAUAAGUUUAACUUCUUUUGAUUGUCAUAUUUACAUGAGCAUCUUUCUUUUCAAAUAGUCCAGUAGAUGAUAGUUGGAGUGAUUUGUAGCACAAGUUUAAGUACAUCAUUCAAGGCAUUUACCUGCCACCAGUUAUUAAUGGUAAAUCUAACAGACCUCUGCUGAUGCGUUAUGCCCAAUAGGGAACCUAUUAGUUUCCAAAUAUAACUAGCUGGCUCUCCUUCCAUGAAAACAUGUUGAAAAGUUUCACUUUUGGGAGAUAAGUAGCAGUUACAUCUAGAAAACAAAGUUGACAAUAACAUCAUCAAAAUGUAGUUUUUUGUUCUACAAUCUCCAAGUAAGAAAAGAAAUUUUAAAAGGAAUAGAGGAGUGUCAUACCAUGCUUAAGAUUAGCUCUUUAGGUUUUCUAGUUCUGAUCAUUUCAAGUGUAGUUUUGUUGGAGUAGUUUUAUUCCUCUAACAAGUUCCAAAAAACUUUGUCUGGAAUUGUCCUCUUCCCAAUAAGAAUUCCAAUAAUAUGAUGAACCAAAGAUUCUGGAAGAAUGCUCUUUAGUUUGUGAAUAUUCCACUCCCCAUUUUGUAUGAAAUUCUUCACUAGAAUCUUGGGGCUUUUGUUAGUCAUGGGGACUAGAGCUGCUAGGGGACUUUUAUUAGUCCAGUUAUCCCACCAGAAGCAAUAAUAACCUCAAUUAAUAUGUCGUAGCAUGAGAUUUUUAGCAUUCUUUCUAACCUUGGUCAUAUGUUUCCAGGAAUGUGAGCUCCUAGAAGCCACUUGUUUAGCAAUCGAUGAGCUCUAAUGCAAUACUUAUGUUUGAUGAAGUUGGCCCAUAGAGAAGAAAUGGCUCUAAAUCUCCACCAUCUUUUGGUGGCUAAUACUUCACUGAUAUCUUUCAUUUUUCUUAUGCCUAUUCCUCCUUCAUCUAUAGGAAAUUAAAGAUUUUUUCAAGACCUCCAGUGGUACAUCCUUUGAUCCUUACUACUAUCCUAGAAAAAAUUAGCAAGAUAUUUUUCAAUAAGAUGAAAGGUAGAUUUAGGAGGGACAUAUAGGAGAGAGUGUAUAUAGGCAGAGAUUGUAGAACAUUCUUGAUUAACACCAUUCUACCUCAAGGAGAAAGCAUGUUACCUUACCAACCAUUGAGUCUUUUUAUUACCUUGUGAACCAUAUUAUCAAAGUAAGCAAUUUUAUUUCUACCAACAUAUAGAGGGCAUCCAAGCUAAGUAAUAGGGAAGACCUUGUCAAGAAAGCCUGUGCAUUGUCUCGUUCCAUUGAUCCUGGAGGCACAGGUCUUAGGGGCUAUUAAGAAGAAGCUCUUAUCCCUAUUGACAAGCUGACCAUAGCACUCCUCAUAAUCUUUUAUUACCUUGAUAAUCAUAUUAAUUGAUAUACUACUUCCAAUUCUAAAGAUAACAACACCAUCAAUAUAAGCUAGAUGACUAAUAAUAGGACAUCUAGAAGGCAUGAAGAAAGGCAUCAAGUUGUUCUUCUAGUUAAGAUUAUUCAGGGAUCUAGAUAAAGGUUCAGCAGCAAGAAUAAGAAGGGAAGGGGAAAUAGGACCCCCCCCCCUUGCUUUAAGCCUUGAAAAGAAGUGAAGAAGCCAUUUCUAGAGCCAUUAAUAAUUAUAGAGUACCAAACCCCAAAAAUAAGGUUUUGGACUAACUCUAUCCAUAGUUCAGAGAAGCCAUAUCUCCUAAGAACUGAUGUGACAAAUAAUCAAGACAUUCUAUUAUACGUUUUCGCCAUAUUCAGCUUAAUAACAAUGUUACCGCCUCGAUUAUUCUAUGAAAUACUUUGAAUGAUUUCCUGACCAAGAAGAACAUUCUCUAUGAUCAGCCUAUCCUCUACAAAACCAGUUUAAUUGUUGGAGAUAAGCUUAGUCAAAAGGGGUUUAAGUUUAAGAGAGAGGACUUUGGAGAUUAUCUUGUUGGUUAAUUUAGAGAGGCUAAAUGGUCUAAAUUCAAAAAAAUGUGGUAGGGGAAUCGACUUUAGGAAUCAAGACAAGAAAAAAGUGAGAAUAUAACUUGGUGUGCUUCUUUCCAAUAAAAAUUUUUCUAAUAAAGGCAAUAAUAUCAUACUUGAUAAUAUCCCAAAAAUGUUGAAAGAAAGUACCAUUGUAACCAUCUUGGCCAGCAGUGCUAUCAGAACUUAAGAUAAAGACCGCUUCUUUGAUCUCUUCUUUACUAGAAAUUGCAGUCAGAUUGAUGUUGUCUUCUUCAGAAAUAUAAUUAGAGAUGUAGUUAAGGAGACCGUGGUUGAGAGUAGGCAUUGGAAGAUUGAAGAAAGACAAAAAAUGAUGCACAACAGCCUUGGCAAUGUUCUUCCCUUUCUUAAUCUAUUUCCCUCUAUGGUACUUAAUCAUGUUCAACUGUUGUUUACUUCUCCUUUCCCUGAGAAGACUAUGGAAGUACCUGGUAUUGCUCUUCGUCAAACCAUCUAGUCUAAGUUUUCUGUUUAAGGAGAGAUUCAUGCAUACUCAACCAUUUAAUAUAUUUUGCCUGUGCUUUAUUCGAUUCUUCCCUGCUAUUAUCAAAGAUGGUUGCAGCAUCCAUAUCCUCAAAUAUUUGAACUUUUUCCUCCCAUUUUAUAACUAGAUCAUUGAUGUCCCCAAUCUGUUCUCCAGAUCACUGGCUCAAUUUCCUGCUAAGAAGCUUCAAAUUAGAUUGUAAGACCCACAUGCGAUUUGUCAAUUAUAUUGGACUAGCAGACUUCUUUAACGAUGUGUAGGAGGCCCUCUUCAUUAGCCUAGAAAUGAAGAAACUUGAAGUAACUGAUGUGACAUUGGUUAGUGUUAAAGCACUUCAUGAGUAAAGGCCUAUGAUCAGAUUAGUUCUCGCCAAUACGAUCAUACCACAAGUUUUGAUACCCUCCAAUGUGAACCCCCGUUUCUAGCCAAAUAUACAUCCUGAAGAUCUCCAAUUACUAUAUGUAAAUCUUGAAUCCUUCAAAACCAUUCUCGGGAGUCAUCCACUCUACUCAGGUUUCAAUUAGUCUGAUCAAAUGAACCGAACGACAUGUGCCCCAUUAGAACAGCAAUACCUAUGGAAAUAACCCAUCCUUCUAAGCAGCCGAGUGCUAUCCUACUCUAUACCUGUUACAUUCCUUACUACAACAACUAAUCCAUCCAACGUUUCUCAUAUACUCAUAAAGAAUAACACAACCCUUAUCCAAAAAAUUUCUUUACUCAAGUCAUCCUCGAUCUCAACCUCUGUAAGCCACAAUUGAUUCGUCGGCAUAACACAAAUUGAAACUAAUACGACAAUUAGCCGUGCAAUAAACUUAUCAAUAGCAAACUCCCCCACUUGGCUCAAAGCCAUAAGUCAAAAUACAUAAAAACUCGCAAUGCCCAUACUCUAUUACCGCCAUAAUACUAUAGGGGAAUAAAACUAAAUCCUCCAUAAGCUCGUGCAACACAAUCAUCUAGUACUUCAAAUCAUCUGCAAUCUCGCAUUCACCUUCGUAACAGUCAUGCCCACUCUCAUAAGUGAUACAAACUCAAAUUGCAACACACAUAUUCCACUAGUAAAAGAGGGCUCCCAACAAACAACAUAGGGAUCACACAAACCUCAGAACACCCCGCAGGAGAUAACUCACCUGUUUUGCCUCAAACUAACAUCUCUUCAUACCUUUCCACCAUCAUAAACAUCAUGCAAUCACUUAAUCUUCCUAAGUCUGAACUCAUAUCACAACAUAAAAUCUACUUCACUCCUCAACUAGACAACAUGAAAAGAUCCUUCAACACACCAACAACUCGAGGCUAUAUAUCAAAUCACGAUGGAAAUCAAACACCAGAUAGUUCUUUCUACCCUCAAGCAGACCCUUCUCGACACAUUUAAAUCGUAUGAACACAUCUCGCAGUCACAACAUACUCAUCACGUAGCCAUCUAAUCAUCACUUCCACUAAUAGGGAUACUAUUAAACAUAUAAAUCCAAAAGCACGUGCUCACACAACCAACACCUCAGUGCUCAGCUACAGGAAAAGCCCGGCCUCAAGUCCUCCAGACUGGCCCAACAUCAACACAUAGAAAUCACAUCUCGCCCCUCGUUCAUGGAAGCACAAGUCGUCGAUGCACAGCUGACCAAACGCACAUAUGCGCACACGAAUGUGUGGAAGAAUUCAAAGAGUUACAUUUCAAGCUGAAUCAACGUCGCACGAUUAGAAUUCAAGAAUGUGGGAUUUCCUAAAGGUUCUGCAGCCUCUCGAAGAUAAGUACAGACGUCUCCGUACCGAUCCGCAAGACUCUACUAAACCUGCUCAUGACUCGUGAGACCUAUGUAACCUAGGCUCUGAUACCAACUUGUCACGACCAAAAACUCAUCACGUCGUGAUGGCGCCUAUCGUGGAACUAGGCUAGUCUCAACUCAACGCAACCCAAAACCACAAUACUAAAACCAAAUCAUUUGCAAAAAAACUUUUAUCAUUUAAAAUAAAUUGAUUAAGACAUAAAAUAAAGAUUCAUAUUACAAUACAACCAUCCCAAAACUAGGGUGUCAUGGAGUACAUGAGCGUCUAAGGUGAAUACAUAAUCUAUUAAAGUGUCUAAAGAGGCAAUUGUAAUACAAUUGGAAAAUGAGAAGGAGAGCCAAAGCCUGCGAACGCCAUGUAGAUACCUCAACAAACUCCACAGCCUGCAACCUCAAUCAACGACUGCCACUGGGUCCAAAAGUACCUGGAUCUGCACACAAGGUGUAGGGGGUAACGUGAGUACACCAUCUCAGUAAGUAACAAGUCCAACCUUUGGACUGAUAGGUAGUGACGAACUCACCCUCAUCAAAGAUAAUAGAAAUAACGUAUAGAAACAUAGGCAUGCUUUCAGUUAAAUAAACAGCUCGAAUAGUAAAACAAAGCAAGUAUGAACAGAGUAAAAAAGUGUAACUCUACUACAUCUACAUAGCGAUACACAUGCUAUAUGAAAUGCACCAUGCUGAGUGACUCAUGUGCCCACAAUCUCAAUUACUCGUCCACUCAGUGUUGUAUAUGGCUCAUACGGCCCAGGGAAGAUCCAUCCCGGAAUAUAUACAUCUCUGACAGCAGUCACUCAGUACUGAGGAAGGCCAGCCUAUGGAAAAGAUCCAUCUCCAAAUAAUAAUAAACAACCUCACAACCACUCGUUACUGUAUAUAGCUCACAAGGACCAGGGAAGAUCCAUCUCGGCAUAUAUACAUCUCACAGACCAAUAGUCUCCAGUACCAAGGAACAACCCAAUCCAUCCUCAUAGAGAAGAUCCAUCUCCAUACCAAGGGAAGAUCCAUCCCUGACUAUAAUCAAUUGCGCUCACUGGUGGUGUAUAGACUCCGGAGGGGCUCCUUUCGGCCCAAGCGGUAUAACAAGCCAACGAAGGCAUAAUUAAUAAUCUGCUGCGAUGUGCAGCCCGAUCCCAUAACUAUCACUCAUAAUCAAGUUCUCUGCCUCACUCAGUCAUCACUCUCUAAUCUCACACACACGGCUCACUAUACCAUGAAACUAGCCGAAACAAUGAUAUGAUGUGCCAAAUAACAACAGAGACUGAGAUAUGAUAUGAUAUACAUGAACAAUACAGAGUACAGAAUAUCAAUGAAACAAAUGAGAUGACAAUAAGAAAUGACCACUCGGGUCUCAACAUCAUUGGCAUGAAGCCCUAACAUGAUAAUUAGCAUGAUUUACAGUUCAUUUCCUUAAUCAUAUAAUCACAACACAGAUAUCAAUAAGAAAGAGUCACUAAGUGGUAUCGUGGAAUGAUAUAUGCCACAAUUCUUACGAUGCACGCCCACUCACCCAUCACUUGGCACUUGCGUCACCUUAAUACAAAUCAUAUAGCACAAUGUUCGGGGUUUCAAACUCUCAGAACCAAGUUUGGAAGCGUUACUUACCUCAAACCAAGCCAAAACUAUAACUUGCGAUGCCCUUGCCUCUCGAUUUGGCCUCCAAAUGCUCCGAAUUUAACGAAAAUUAGUAUAUUACCAUCAAUAUACGCUAAAGGAAUAAAACCCAUAUGAAAAUUAUCAAAUUAGAUAAAAAAAAGAAAUCCCAAAUUUGCUAAAACCCGACCCCCGGGCCAACGUCUCGGAAUCCGAAAAAAUCACAAAACUAGAAAGCUCAUUCAUUCACGGGUUUACCCACAUCAAAUUCAUCAAAAUCCGACAUCAAACGACCAUUCAAAUCCCCAAAAUCAACUCUCCAAAUUUUCUUCCAUUUUCCCCAAUUUUCACCCCAAAUUCCCAAUUUAGAGGAUAAAGAUUAAUACACAAUCAUGGAAUUUAACUAAAUUUGAGUAAACAACACUUAUCCCAAUCACUUCUAUGAAAAUUCCCUCCAAAAUCCCUUCUCCCGAGCUCUCUAUUGAAUUUUGGAAUUAUGAACCCAAACCCUCAUUUUUGAACUUAAACAUUCUGCCCAGACAUUUCCUUAAUCGCGAUCGCGGAAACACCCUUGUGAUCGCGAAGAACAACUUCGCUAGCUCCUGGCUUAACCCUAUGCGAAUGCGUUAAUCUCCAUGUGAAUGCAAUAUUCUGUCACUCUCUUAUACGCGAUCACGGGCCAAUGAUCUCACUCGCGAUGAACAAAUGACUGGCCCCAGCUUUGUCCCACUUAACCUUACAUGAACGCGACUCUUCCCACUAGAACGCGAUGCACCACAUGAUCAACCUACGUGAUCACAUCUCUAACUCCGCGAACAUGAUGAACAACUUGAUUGGUCUCCAAAAAUACUCUAUGCGAUCGCGAGCCUCCUCACGCGAUCGCGACGAAAGACCUUCUACAACAGAAAUACCAGCAAAAUCUGCCAAUCUUUCAAGUCCAAAAAUGCCCGGUUGGCCAUUCGAAACACACUCGAGGCCCUCGGGACCUUACCCAAACAUGCCAACUCAUCCUAUAACAUCAUUCAAACUUAGUCGAGCCUUCGAAUCACUCAAAGCAACGCCAAAAUACCAAAUCCACCUCGGAUUCAAGCCUAAGAACUUGUAAACUUUCAAAUUCCACAAACAAUGCCGAAACCUAUCAAAUCACCUCCGAAUGACCUGAAAUUUUGCACAUAUAUUACAAAUGACACUACGGACCUACUCCAAUUUUCAGAAUUCCAUUCCAACCCCGAUAUCAAAAUUCCCACUACAGACUGAGAAACGCCAAAUUUCCAAUUUCAUUGAUUCAAGCCUAACUCUACCACAGACCUCCAAAUCACAUUCCGUAUGAGCCCUCAAGUACAAAAUAACCUAAUGGAGCUAACCAAAUCAUAAAAAUCCAAAUCCGAGAUUGAAUACUAAAAAGUCGAAACUUGGCCAAACCUUUUAAAUUUAAAGCUUCAAGCUAAAAAUCAUUCUUCCAUAUCUAUUCUGAUUAACCUAAAAACCAAAACCGACGAUUUACAUAAGACAUAAUAUAUCAUACGGGGAUAGUCAUGCCUGAGAACUGGCGAGCAAAGCAUAAAUGCUCAAAACGACCGGUCGGAUCGUUAUAGGAGGCCAUAACUAUAUCGCCAUCAUCAUUCCUUAAAAUCCCUCCCAUUCAAGCCAUGUUAUUCGCCUUUAGGAAUCUACCAUUAGUAUUUAGCUUGAAAGUUCCUAUUCCAAGUUUGUUCCAAAGAACUAUUGUGAUCCUUGGGAUAGGAUGUAGCUUCAUUAGGUUGUCACAAAGAUUAUUCCAUGGGAGAGAGAGCUUGCAGAUCGGAAAGGCUUUGAAUAUAGCUGAUCCAACUAUCCAACAAACUUGUUGGCCCAUUUUGAUUAAGUUUAACUUCUUUUGAUUGUCAUAUUUACAUGAGCAUCUUUCUUUCCAAAUAGUCCAGCAGAUGAUAGUUGGACUGAUUUGUAGCACAAGUUUAAGUACAUCAUUCAAGGCAUUUACUUGCCACCAGCUAUUAAUGGUAAAUCUAACUAACCUCUGCUGAUGCGUUAUGCCCAAUAGGGAACCUAUUAGUUUCCAAAUAUAGCUAGUUGCCUCUCCUUCUUUCACCUUUGGGAGUAGUUUAUAUCCUCUGACAAGUUCCAAAAAAUUUGUCUAGAAUUGUCCUCUUCUCAAUAUGAAUUCCAAUAAUAUGAUGAACCAAAGAUUCUGGUAGUAUGCUCUUUAGUUUGUGAAUAUUCCACUCCCCAUUUUGUAUGUAAUUAUUCACUAGAAUCUUAGGGCUUUUGUUAGUCAUGGGGACUAGAGCUGCUAGGGGACCUUUAUUAGCCCAGUUAUCCUACCAGAAGCUACAAUCACCUCAAUUAACAUGUCGUAGCAUCUGAUUUUCAGCAUUCUUUCUAACCUUGGUCAUAUGUUUCCAGGAAUGUGAGCUCCUAGAAGCCCAUUGUUUAGCAAUCGAGUGAGCUCUAAUGCAAUACUUGUGUUUGAUGAAGUUGGCUCAUAGAGAAGAAAUGGCUCUAAAUCUCCACCAUCUUUUGGUGGCUAAUACUUCACUGAUAUCUUUCAUUCUUAUGCCUAUUCCUCCUUCAUCUGUAGGAAAUUAAAGAUUUUUCCAAGACCUCCAGUGGUACUUCCUUUGAUCCCUACUACUAUCCUAGAAAAAAUUGGCAAAAUAUUUUUCAAUAAGAUGAAAGGUAGAUUUAGGAGGGACAUAAAAGAGAGAGUGUAUGUAGGCAGAGAUUGUAGAACAUUCUUGAUUAACACCAUUCUGCCUCCAGGAGAAAACAUAUUAUCCUACCAACCAUUGAGUCUUUUUAUUACCUUGUGAACCAUAUUAUCAAAGUAAGAAAUUUUCUUUCAACCAUAAGCAAUUUUCUUUCAACCAACAUAUAGAGAGCAUCCAAGGUAAGUAAUAGGGAAGACCUUGUCAAGAAAGCCUGUGCAUUGUCUCGUCCCAUUGAUCCUGGAGGCACAGGUCUUAGGGGCUAUUAAGAAGAAGCUCUUAUCCCUAUUGACAAGCUGACCAUAGCACUCCUCAUAAUCCCUUAUCACCUUCAUAAUCAUAUUAAUUGAAAUGCUACUUCCACUGCUAAAGAUAACAACACCAUCAACAUAAGCUAGAUGAUUAAUAAUAGGACCUUUAAAGGCAUGAAGAAAGGAAUCAAGUUGUUGUUCCGGUUGAGAUUAUUCAGGGAUCUAGAUAAAAUUUCAACAGCAAGAAUAAGAAAGGAAGGGAAAAGAGGAGCCCCUUGUUUUAAGCUUUGAGAAGAAGUGAAGAAGCCAUUUCUAGAGCCAUUAAUAAUUAUAGAGUACCAAACACCAAAAAUAAGGUUUUGGGCUAACUCUAUCCAUAGUUCGGAGAAGCCAUAUCUCCUAAGAACUGAUGUGAUAAAUAAUAAAGAUAUUCUAUCAUACGCUUUGGCCAUGUUCAGCUUAAUAACAAUGUAACCGCCUCGAUUAUUCUGGGAAAUACUUUGAAAGAUUUCCUGAUCAAGAAGAAUAUUCUCUGUAAUCAACCUAUCCUCCACAAAAUCAGUUUUAUUGUUGGAGAUAAGCUUAGUCAUAAGGGGUUUAAGUUUAAGAGAGAUGACUUUGGAAAUUAUCUUGUUGGUUAAUUUAGAGGGGCUAAUAGGUCUAAAUUCAAAAAAAAGUGGUAGAGGCAUCAACUUUAGGAAUCAAGACAAGACAAAAGUGAGAAUAGAACUUGGUGAGCUUCUUUUCAAUGAAAAAAUUCUCUAACAAAGGCAAUAUCAUACUUGAUAAUAUCCCAACAAUGUUGAAAGAAAGUACCAUUGUAUCCGUUUGGGCCAGCAGUGCUAUCAGAACUUAAGUUAAAGACUGCUCUUUUGAUCUCUUCUUCACUACGAAUUGCAGUCAGAUUGAUGUUGUCUUCUUUAGAAAUUUAAUUAUAGAUGUAGUUAAGGAUACCGGGGUUGAGAGUUGGCUUUGGAAUAUUGAAGAAAGACUCAAAAUGAUGCACAAUAGCCUUGCCAAUGUUCUUGUCUUUCUUAAUCUAUUUUCCCCUAUGGUACUUAAUCAUGUUCAACUGUUGUUUCCUUCCCCUUUCCCUGAGAAGACUAUGGAAGUACCUGGUAUUUCUCUUCGUCAAACCAUUUAUUCUGAAUUUUUUAUUUAAGGAGAGAUUCAUCCAUACUCAACCAUUUAAUAUAUUUUCCCUGCUAUUAUCAAAGAUGGUAGCAGCAUCCAUAUCCUCAAAUAUUUGAAAUUUGUCCUCCCAUUUUAUAACCAGAUCAUUGAUGUCCCCAAUCUGUUCUCUAGACCACAGGCUCAAUUUCCUGCUAAGAAGCUUCAAUUUAGAUUGUAAGAUCCACAUAUGAUUUGUCAAUUAUAUUGGACUACCAGACUUCUUUAACGAUGUUUAGGAGGCCCUCUUCAUUAGCCCAGAAAUUAAAAAACUUAAAGUAACUGAUGUGGCUUUGGUUAGUGUUAAAGCACUUCAUGAGUAAAAACCUAUUAUCAGAGUUAGUUCUCGUCAAGUGUCUCACAAUAGUGAUCUGGAACUUCUGAGCCCACAUGUCAUUAAUAAAUUUCCUGUCAAAUAUUUUCUAAAUUCUCUUGCUAGGCCUUCUAUUAUUACACCUUGUAAACCAAAAACUAGAAAAACCAACAUCAGUCACCCCACAAUUGUCCAUACAAUUAAUAAAAUCCAAGCGUCUAUGAACCCUAUGAGGCCUUCCUCCUAGCUUUUCAUCUAGAUCGAUAAUGAUACUAAAGUCUCCUCCAAUACAUGAAGGACUAUCAAUGCUAAGAUUGUCUUGUUCAAGGUUGUCCCAAAGUCCUUUUCUUUUAGUUGAAGUGCAUUUUGCAUAAACUGUUGAAAUAUAAGAACUAUGGUUGUUAAUACCAUCUUUAAACUUCAUGGUAAUAUGUUUCUCAUCCUCAGCUAUCAAUACAGAGUGACAGUUGAUGUUAUAGAAGCACCAAAUUUGACCAUUGCAGUUGGAGAUACAAUGUUGAAAUCCAAGAAACUUCUUUUAACCAUCAAGCUUUUAGUUAUUCACAAAAGGCUCAAAGAUGGCCACAAAUUAUAUCUUGUUUAUGUUGAUCAAGUGUUUAAGCCUAUGAAUAAAUUUCUUUGAUCUCACCACUCUAAUGUUCCAAAAAAUUAUACUAAUCAUUAGAAUUUGUUGGGGGUAGAUCCUCUUGUUGUUUCCUUUUCUGUAAAGAAGCAUCUUUCUUCAUGUGCCUUUUUUUCCUAGUUUGGGUUCUUACUCUUUCCUCGGUGAUACAUGUUUGAUAUUUGUUAUUCAACUUGUUUUGGAGACUUCUGUUAAUCUCCUGAGUAUUUAAUUUGGUUUCCUUGUGGCAAUUAGAAGUUGUCUAUCUAGGAAGAUCAUUAGUAGCCUCAUCGAUGUUCUCUGUCGGAUGAAUACAUUUGGGAAUAUUCAGUUCAACAACCAAAUUCACUCCCGGUUGAUUAAUAAUAUCUUAUGGUAAAGUGGAUGAACUAGAGCUAUCAUUAACCGUAUUAGAACCCAGAAUUGCUAGCUGAUGUUCUUGAUCAACCCUUGUGUUGGUGUGAAUCUCCCCUUGCUUACCUUUAUCAUGCCUUCUAUCUUCUUUAGAAAUGUUUGGAGCUUCUACCAUAUUUGUAAUAAGAUUAUUAUCCAUAAUAAUUGUUUGUACCCGGUGUUGGUGACUUUAUUUUCCUUGAUCACCCUGACUUUGGAUACUCUCUUUGAUUUCUGAUAGGGAUUGGUCACUUUGAAUAGAAUUAAUGGCUUUUGCUAUCCUUCUUUUGCUAUUUCCUGUAGUUGUAUUGGUUUGAAUAUCACUUUGCUUCUUUUUUGGCAUUUUAUUAACUUUCUUCUCUUUUUUUCUUCCUCCUGCAUAGUCUAUCUGUACGUUCAGCUGAAAAUAUAGUCACAUUGUUAGUGUUAAGUUGUGCUAUCUCUGUUCUUUGUUGGUUCAUAUGAUGCUUCUUCUUAUUAGCUUCAACUUUACCAUUUGUACUCCCCUUUUAUAAUAGAACUGGUUGCCUCAAUUUUUUCCUCAAUAAUAUUUUUUAGAUGAUUUAGCAACUUCUUUAUUGGUAGGCACCUCUCCUUUCUUAACAUUAAUAUUAACAUUCUACUAUGCCACACCCUUAACAACUUCUGUAGCAUUCUGCUUUGCCAUAUCCUUCUUUUGGCCUCUAUUUCCUUCAUUGUUCUCUUCCUGAUUUUUACUACUUCUUUCUUCUAUUUGCAAUAGAAUCAUAUUUUCAGCAUUCAUUUUGCCUUCAUUGACUUCUACAGUUCUUAUUUUCUCAAGAACUCUAUAAUUUAUCAUAUUGUGCCCCAUUCUUUUACAAUGCUUGCAGUACUUAGGAAUAUUUUCUUAUUCAAUUUUUUGCCUAUACCCUCUCAGAGGUGAAUUCUCAUCCUUAAAGCCCACCCAUACACUACUAGGCUAGGGUUUCGUUAGGUCUAUUUUAGUAGCAGCAUCCAAGGCUAAAGGAGUGCCAAUAUUACUAACAAUUUGCCUAACAUAAUGUCAUGUAUGCAUAUUGAAUGAUAUACAUGGAAGAAGUACCCAUGCCGGAACAAUUGGAAUGUCUUCAUCCAGCUUCAAAUCCGGUGACCAUUUUUGUAGCCACAUUUGUAAUCCUUCAAUUUUGAUCAUCCUCCUAUACCAUGCAUAGUUGAAGUCAUCUUCAUUGGUGAAGUCUAUUAAAACAUUGUAGUUGUCAUAGACUCCAAUCUUAGCAGACCUUUAAUUGAAAAAAGCUCUCUAAAACUGGAUCUUAUCCUUUCGAUUUAAGGAUAGGGCUUCAGAAACCUACCAAUAAUAGUUAAUUUGCAUUCUUCAGCCAUGAUUCUGUAAUAGUAUUUAGCUUUAAAAUUCACCAACGGCAUCUUAUUGUGAGUAGUUUGUCGAGCAAUCACUGAUUCUCGAGGGUGUCGAACGGUGGUCGUUGGAGUAACUGUUGCGGUAGAUACUGUGGUGGCAUAAGUUAAUUUCCUGCAAUUGCUUCAGUAGGUGGAGUCGUCAUAUUUGGAGGUUCAUAUUGGCUGUCAGUACGCUCCCUUUGGACACCGUUUGACGGCGCCAUGAGGCGGAGCGUAGGGUUGACGCGUCUAAUAUGUUAUCGUUAAGGGCCAACGCUAGUAAUAUUAUGGAGAGAGUCUUUUGCAAAGUCAGACCUGGUAUUAUACAUAUUGAUGAACGGUGAUGUUUGGUUGAUGGUUUAGUUAUACAAGAAUAAUAAUAAUAUAUCACGACCCAAACCGAUGGGCCGCGACAGGCACCCGGUACCUUACUCAACCGAGUACCUACAUAACGUAUAUUUUGUGUCAUACUAUCAUAGGUAAAUGAUCCAGAGAGGCUGUCGUGAGAUAAGUAAAAAACAUGGGAAAAAUACUCGACAUUGGAUGACCCAACAUGUAAUCCAAACUCAUACAUAUGACGUACGGGCCUAUAAGGCCGCCACGAUUCCUUAUAUACUCAAAACAUAGGUCGACAAGGCCAUAAAAGUAUCUGUAUACAUGACAUCUGUCUACAAGCCGCUAGGAAUACAUAAUAUCAUAAAGUGCGGGAUAGGGCCCCGCCGUACCAAUCAAUACAUGUACUAAUCAUACUGACCAAAUAGGCAACUCCAGAGCAAAUGGAGUGCACCAACACCUUUUGCUGAGCUGAUAGUUUACUUGAAGGGCUCAUAACCUGUCUAUCAGGACCUGCGAGCAUGAAGCGCAGCAUCUCCAGACAAAAGGGAUAUCAGUACAAAUAAUGUACCGAGUAUGUAAAGAAUGAAAAUCACUAAAUAAUAAACAUGAAAGAAAUAUGGAGUAAAAGACUCGACAUGUAAGUCUGAAAAACUUUGUAAAUCAUGAAAUACUUAUAGUGUCAUGCAUAUGCGUAUGAAUCUCAUGUAGUACAUAGGUACAUGUAUUCAUAACAUCAUCAAGUCUCUGAGGG
rnacentral:lncRNA from 1 species